UUUGCACAAAGAUAAUUAGACGAUGAUGUUAUAGAACUAGAUCCAUAAUCCAUUACGAUAUAAGAAAUAUAAUAUUUUAUUGAUAUGAUAAUAAGGCAUACAUGAAAACAAUGCUAUAACAACACAACAUAAGCCAUAUAUAAUAAUUCAAACACGUUUAAAGGAAGUGAGGUUCCUUAAGUGCUUCAAUGGCUGAUCCGACACAGCAGCUUCAUAAUUGUUAGAAGAUGAACCUUCUUUGGCAGAAAGAGUGAGGUGGUAGUUGGUCCCUGCAACAACCUGUGAUUCACCUUUGAUAAGUUUCUCAAACUCCAAUGUUGCUCCUUUUUGCUUGUUGUACUCGACAAGUGACAACUGCGAAACGGGCUAUUUCAAUCACAUAUGGAUCAGUGAUGUUCUUUAUGGGAGUCCAACCGCCUGGUAUAGCUUGAUUCAGAGUGGCCGAAGCAAACAAAAUAAGGAAGAGGAGACUAAGGGAUUGAAAUCUCAUGAUGUCUGUUAACUUGAGAAAUCAAGAUGGUGUGAGUUAAACUCUGUGGUGUGGAGGAGUAGUUAUAUAUAAUGUAUAAAAGUUAUGCCAUGUUUGGUGAUAUACUCUUUUAUUCGUUGAAUUAAAUCAAAAAUUUCAUUUGAUUUUAUUUCAUGAAAAUAAAAUAAUUUUUUUUGACCAAAUAAAUAAAAUCUCUUUAAUAAUAUAUAAUAUUUAAUAAACCUACAAUUAGUUUAAUAGAAAAGUAUGGUCAAAAAUAUUAUAUUUAAUGUCAUUCAAGGAAAAUGUUGUCAAAAGUAUUAUAAAUAAUGUUAUUCUAAAAAAUGUCAUACAAUGUUUCUGUUUUUUUAUAUAUUUAUUUAUAUAAAACACUUGUAUAAUAGGUUGUUCUAUGUUUUUGAUUUUAUCUUAAUAAAUGAUAAAAAAAAAUUCUUCAAUUUUUUUAAGUAAUAAUGAUAAGAGAUUAAUUACUAUACACUGUCAGUGUAAAAAGUUUUACACUGUCGGUUCAUCACCAUCACCCGUUUGUAUUACUUUAUAGAUUUUUAAAAUAAACGUCAAACUUCUUUUAAUAUCCAACGUCUAUAAUUAACUGACGGUGUAAAACCCUUUUACACUGUCAGUGUAUUUCAAUUAAUCUCUAAUGAUAAAUCCUAAAUGUCCCUGAUCACCGUAUUUGAACCCCGACAACUUCAUGUCACUCUUGCUGCCAAACAAUGAACCCCGUUCUCCAUUUGAACCCCAAUCGCCUGACGAUAACUCUCGAUCGUCAUUAUGAACCCCAUUCUCCAGAAAACAUCCCGUGUCUCCUUUUCUCCAUUUGAACCCCGUUCUCCAUUCUCCCGUGCUAAUUCCGUUAGCAACGUCGGAAAUAACACCAACCACCACUCAGACGGCGACAUAUCAGAGGGUAUACCUUCACAACAGGAAGGUAACAUGUGCAUUUCUUCCUCGGAAGACACCCAUAACGACUUCUCCUGGCCUCAGCCAAAGUCUAAGGUGACACAUGAUCAGAAGACAAUCCUGAGGACCUCAUCCCGGAUACAAUCUUCAAUCUCCAUCUCCAGUUGAACCCCGUUCUCCAGAAAAUGCGCAACACUUCCUUUUCUCCUGGUGGACCCCAAUCUCCGCUCAUCGUGUAACGUUCUCCGAUCUUCAUUUCCAUCUCCGCCUGACGGAAUCCCUUCCUCCAAUAUCGCGCUACUGGGGAAAAUUGUUGAUCCAAUGUCACGAUGCUAAACUCCUCAGAGUAACAUCUUCACCAACCAGCUAAGCCAAUUCUCAAACGGUAACCACGGCUCGAGACUAGCUUAUGCUUGCAAUGCUGAUGCAUGAGUUUUACAGCGUAAUGCUCCAUAACCAUGGAAAUGCUACGCGAUUAGUUAUGCAAUAUACUAUGCUUCUCUAAAUGAUGAAUGCAUAAAAAGUAUCCCCCUCAGGGGACGGCACGAGAAACUCUGUUGAGGAACUCGCUAUCACUCCGAUCUCCAACCCUGCUUGGGCUAACACUGCUGCUGAGGAAAGGACAAUCCUUACUGGGGAUGACCUCCACUGAACUCGAUCCGCUUGGGGACUUCGCUGGGGAAUAACCACCAACGCACACCCCUGCCGGGGGAACAACAACCUUCAGACCUGCUGGGGAAAUAACAAUCUCGACCCUGCUAGGGGAAACACCGACCUCGAACACACUGGGGAGAUACAUAAUAUUUGACACGGAACACCUGUCGACUCGUCGACCACUGGCAUUCACCAUCUAACCACGGUGUCAAUGUUCCACUUCUUUAGACUUUGAAGAGUCUUCUUGAUUAACCCUCUAGGAUCGUCGCACUUCUCUCGUCGUCUCUACACCAUUCUUCAACUCCCCGUACCUGAUUGGACCUCAAGGGAAUAUUUUGUCAAAACGCUUCAUACCACAACCUGCAAGUGAGUGAAAAUAAACCAACAGCGCCUGUAAAAGAGAUCGUUAGAUAAAACGUGCCCCAGGCGUGCCAAAAUUUCAACACCCAGGUCACUCAACCUUCCGAAUAAGAUUUCAAGUUUUCAAUCAUAUAAGCAUGCAUUGGAAAGGACCCCUAUGUCUCAAAAUGCAAAGAUUCUUUAUCAAAAUAAACUGAUGUUUUUGCAAUCAAAGCGGUAAUGAAAACAAAAACAAAAUUACUUGACUGAAUAUGCAUUUUAUUGAUUGAAAAAGGUGGCUCGUAACUGAGCGGUACACAGGAAGCAAUCCCUGAAAAGAGGUAAUUGCGCAUAAAAGGAAAAUCUAUCCUAAUGGCAAUGUGAAACCGUGAUCUCAUCGAGUUCCAACCCGGUUACAACCCAUAUGUCCUCAAAACUCUCCGCACUUUCUGCCUUCCGAAACAAAACGCUUCCGACCGAUCUCUGUCGGGGAUUAUCCUUGGUGUCAUAUCCAAAGUACAAACGAUCAUGCUAGACGCAGUUGUUCGUUUCACUCCCUCUUUUGCCUGGACCGCCCUUUCGGGUUUUCAGUCCACCGGGAUACCCUUUUUUGCCCAAGUCGCCCUUUCGGGGUUUUCGACUUGCCGGGUGUACAGUUUUUCUUUUUAUCCCUAAUUUUUGCCCGAACCUUUUUUUUCAUUUUUUAUUUGGUUCGUCGGGAUGCCCUUUUUUGCCUGGACUAUUUUAUUCUUUCCGUCCAGCGGGUCUCUUAUACGAAGUAUUUUUUAACUACGUCCGCAUUCACAGGGGAUGGAAAAUCCUCACCAUCCAUGGUCGUCAACAACAAGGCUCCGCCAGAGAAGACCUUCUUGACCACGAAUGGACCUUCAUAAUUGGGUGUCCACUUGCCCCGACGAUCUGACGAUCGUUCUGAGGAGGAAGGAUCCUUUUCAACACCAUAUCUCCCACAUGGUACACACGAGGUCGCACCUUUCGGUCAAAAGCACGCUUCAUUCGUUGCUGGUACAACUGCCCAUGACAAAUGGCUGCCAGCCUCUUUUCCUCAAUCAAGCUCAACUCUUCAUACCGAGUCCUUAUCCAUUCAGCCUCUUCCAAUUUCACAUCCAUCAGGACUCUCAAUGACAGGAUCUGGACCUCAACCAGUAGCACGGCUUCCAUCCCAUACACAAGCGAGAAAGGCGUUGCCCUAGUAGACGUACGCACUGAGGUUCGAUACCCAUGCAAUGCAAACGGCAACAUCUCGUGCCAAUCCUUAUAAGUCACGACCAUUUUCUGCGUAAUCUUCUUAAUAUUCUUAUUAGCCGCCUCGACCGCCCCAUUCAUCUUUGGACGAUAAGGAGAAGAAUUGUGAUGCUCGGUCUUGAACUCCUGGCACAGUUCUGCCAUCAUCUUGUUGUUGAGAUUAGAACCAUUAUCAGUAAUGAUUCUUUCAGGAACCCCAUACCUACAAAUGAUGUCUCUUUUCAGGAACCUGGCAACGACCUGUUUCGUCACGUUUGCAUAAGACGCCGCUUCCACCCACUUGGUGAAGUAAUCAAUAGCCACUAAUAUGAACCGAUGCCCAUUCGAAGUCGUAGGCUCGAUCUUUCCGAUCAUAUCAAUGCCCCACAUAGCAAACGGCCAUGGAGACGACAUUAAACUCAACGGAUUUGGAGGUACGUGCACCUUGUCAGCAUAAAUCUGGCAUUUAUGACAUUUUCGCACGAAAUUGAAACACUGAGCCUCCAUUGUCAUCCAGUAAUAUCCAGCUCUUAACAACUUUUUCACCAUCGCAUUCCCACUGGCGUGGGUACCAAACGACCCCUUGUGCACUUCUUUCAUCAACUGACUUGCUUCCUUGUCAUCGACACAUCUGAGCAAAAUCCAAUCAAAAUUCCUUUUGUACAACACCCCAUCUUUAUUCAGAUAGAACGCCAUGGCCAACCUCCUCAGAGUCUUUCGGUCCUUUUUAGACGCUCCCUCGGGAUACUCUUGGGUUUCCAGAUAACCGAACUACAGUAUUAUGGUGCCGAAAAGUAGUAGUCCGCCUGCUUCAACAGCAAACACAUAAGCCGGUCUAUCCAGUCGUCCCACCUCAACACUAGGGAAUUGAUUCCACCACUGCACUUUAAUCAAAGCGGCCAGAGUAGCCAAAGCAUCUGCUAAAGGAUUUUCUUCUCUCGGCACAUGGUGUAAUUCCACCUUGGUGAAAAACGUCAUCAACCUCCUUGUAUAAUCCCGAUAUGGAAUUAAGUGAGAUUAAUGCGUAUACCACUUCCCGUUAACCUGGUUCACAACCAAAGAUGAAUCUCCAUAGAUAACAAGGUUCUUGAUUCGCAAAUCAAUCACCUCUUCGACACCCAAGAUACAAGCUUCGUAUUCAGCCACAUUGUUGGUGCAUUCAAACGUUAGCCGGGCAGCAAAAGGAAUGUGGGAUCCCUUCGGCGUAACCAAAACAGCACCAACUCCAUUACCAUUCAUAUUAACGGCCCCAUCAAACAUCAGAAUCCAUUCGGACUCAGGGUCAGGCUCCUCCUCCGGGAUCGGUUCCUUACAAUCUUUCGAUUUGAGAAACAUGAUGUCCUCAUCAGGGAACUCAAAUUUCAUCGGUUGAUAAUCCUCAAUGGGUUGCUGGGCGAGGUAAUCAGACAAUACACUCCCCUUGAUUGCUUUUUGGGAAGUGUACUAGAUAUCAUAUUUAGUCAAAAUCAUUUGCCAUCUCGCAACCCGUUCGGUCAAUGCUGGCUUCUCAAAUAUAUACUUGAUCGGAUCCAUCUUGGAAAUCAACAAAGUGGUAUGAACCAGCAUAUACUGUCUCAGUCGGCGAGCAGCCCAUGCCAAAGCGAAGCAAGUUUUCUCGAGCAGUGAAUAUCUUGUUUCACAGUCGGUAAACUUUUUGCUAAGGUAGUAAAUUGCAUGCUCUUUUCGACCAGACUCGUCAUGCUGCCCCAGUACACACCCCAUAGACCCCUCGAGGACUGUCAAGUACAGAAUUAACGGUCGUCCCUCCACAGGAGGCAUCAAAAUCGGAGGCUCCUGCAAAUAUUCUUUUAUUUUUUCAAAUGCCGCUUGGCAAUCAUCAUUCCACCUGACCGUUUGAUCUUUUCUCAAUAACUUGAAUAUGGGUUCACACGUGGCUGUUAGAUGAGAUAUGAACCGCGAAAUGUAGUUCAAUCUGCCUAAGAAACCACGAACCUCUUUUUUUGUUUUCGGUUCAGGCAUUUCUUGUAUCGCUUUUACUUUGGCAGGAUCAACCUCGAUUCCUCUUUCGCUUACAAUAAACCCCAGCAACUUACCGGACCGCAAUCCGAAAGUGCACUUAUUCGGAUUCAACCUCAAUUUGAAUUGUCUCAACCGGUCAAACAACUUGGCCAAGUCUACCAAAUGCCCUUCUUCUGUUUGGGACUUUGCUAUCAUGUCAUCAACAUAGCAUUCAAUCUCAUGAUGAAUCAUAUCAUGAAACAAAGUCACCAUAGCUCUUUGAUACGUGGCACCGGCAUUCUUGAGACCGAAUGGCAUCACCUUAUAGCAAAAAUUGCCCCAUGGUGUGAUGAACGUUGUUUUCUCCAUAUCAUCUGGCGACAUUUUAAUUUGGUUAUAGCCAGAAAAGCCAUCCAUGAAGGAAAACACCGAGAAUUGAGUUGUAUUAUCUACCAACACAUCGAUGUGAGGUAAUGGAAAAUCAUCUUUCAGGCUAGCUCUGUUCAAAUCCCGGUAAUCCACACACAUUCUUACCUUUCCAUCCUUCUUCGGCACCGGCACAAUGUUCACGACCCAAGGAGGAUAAUUAGUGACAGCUAGGAAACCAGCAUCCAACUGCUUUUGCACUUCCUCUUUGAUUUUCAUGGCCAUCUCGGGUCGAGUUCUGCGCAACUUCUGCUUUGCUGGAGGACAGUCUUCUCUCAAUGGCAACUUGUGUACAACGAUAUCGGUGUCCAACUGUCGCAACCUGAAAAAUACAGUGCGAAAAAAAACAACCGGCGAAAGAAAAAGACAGAAGAGUCGCCACCGUGCGUUAUUCAUCCCAAAGGAGGGAAAGGAAACGCUCGAAGUAAACCUGAAAAAGGAAAGGACAAGACGGGGUCUCGCAACCAAAUCUUGGGUUCGGGAGUCGGUUAUGCGAAGGGAAGGUAUUAGCACCCCUACGCAUCCGUAGUACUCUACGGGAUCCACUUUUGUNNNNNNNNNNNNNNNNNNNNNNNNNNNNNNNNNNNNNNNNNNNNNNNNNNNNNNNNNNNNNNNNNNNNNNNNNNNNNNNNNNNNNNNNNNNNNNNNNNNNNNNNNNNNNNNNNNNNNNNNNNNNNNNNNNNNNNNNNNNNNNNNNNNNNNNNNNNNNNNNNNNNNNNNNNNNNNNNNNNNNNNNNNNNNNNNNNNNNNNNNNNNNNNNNNNNNNNNNNNNNNNNNNNNNNNNNNNNNNNNNNNNNNNNNNNNNNNNNNNNNNNNNNNNNNNNNNNNNNNNNNNNNNNNNNNNNNNNNNNNNNNNNNNNNNNNNNNNNNNNNNNNNNNNNNNNNNNNNNNNNNNNNNNNNNNNNNNNNNNNNNNNNNNNNNNNNNNNNNNNNNNNNNNNNNNNNNNNNNNNNNNNNNNNNNNNNNNNNNNNNNNNNNNNNNNNNNNNNNNNNNNNNNNNNNNNNNNNNNNNNNNNNNNNNNNNNNNNNNNNNNNNNNNNNNNNNNNNNNNNNNNNNNNNNNNNNNNNNNNNNNNNNNNNNNNNNNNNNNNNNNNNNNNNNNNNNNNNNNNNNNNNNNNNNNNNNNNNNNNNNNNNNNNNNNNNNNNNNNNNNNNNNNNNNNNNNNNNNNNNNNNNNNNNNNNNNNNNNNNNNNNNNNNNNNNNNNNNNNNNNNNNNNNNNNNNNNNNNNNNNNNNNNNNNNNNNNNNNNNNNNNNNNNNNNNNNNNNNNNNNNNNNNNNNNNNNNNNNNNNNNNNNNNNNNNNNNNNNNNNNNNNNNNNNNNNNNNNNNNNNNNNNNNNNNNNNNNNNNNNNNNNNNNNNNNNNNNNNNNNNNNNNNNNNNNNNNNNNNNNNNNNNNNNNNNNNNNNNNNNNNNNNNNNNNNNNNNNNNNNNNNNNNNNNNNNNNNNNNNNNNNNNNNNNNNNNNNNNNNNNNNNNNNNNNNNNNNNNNNNNNNNNNNNNNNNNNNNNNNNNNNNNNNNNNNNNNNNNNNNNNNNNNNNNNNNNNNNNNNNNNNNNNNNNNNNNNNNNNNNNNNNNNNNNNNNNNNNNNNNNNNNNNNNNNNNNNNNNNNNNNNNNNNNNNNNNNNNNNNNNNNNNNNNNNNNNNNGUUUUUUUAUGGAUGCAUGAAUGAGGAGGGCAAAUUUUGGGGUGUUACACCAACCCUGGCAUAUCCUAAUAAGACCAAGCGAAGAUAUCAACAUACUCUUUCAACAAUGCUACCAUUCUGCUCUUGACAUUCACCUUCAAAGCGGCCCCAACCUUUACUUCGUUUAUGACCGCCUCGGUACCCAGAUUAACAAUCUCGACUUGCUCCUCGUGCGGUUGAAUCACCUUCUCCUCUUGUUUCAACAACCUGGCUAAUUCUUCCGACAGUUCACAAUCUUCUUCGCCUUCUUCUUCGGCAUGAUAGAUCGGGUUGUCGAAGUCAUAUAAAGGUGUAACAGGAUUGUUAUCAAUGAGAUCCGGAGAAUGAUCGCAUCUGCAUGAAUGUUGAUUCAUGCAUUGCUUUAGAGUCGGGACGAAGCAAAUUAAAAGGAAGAAAAAUGAAAAUAAACAUUGCCAUUUUUAUUUUAUUUUUCUUAAACUGCAAAAAUAAAUGAAAAACAGGGAACACCGCUUUUAAUGCGAAAAACAUCCGUUUAUUAAUGAUGCAAAUAAUGCAAAAUGAAACACAUGAGGUGGCCCUUACAAUGGACCAUUACGUUUCGGGAAAAACGUAUGGCUUUCAUGCAAACAGAAUUGAAAAACAGAAAUAUUACUCUUCACGCAGAGUGACAGUGAUGAUCUUUUCUCGUAUGGCUUUCAUGCAAACAGAAUUGAAAAACAGAAAUAUUACUCUUCACGCAGAGUGACAGUGAUGAUCUUUUCGGCCUUCCAGUUCUGGAUCUCCAUCCCUGGUACGCACAGUUUUAUCCACGAAUCAAGCUCGCAGUCACUGUCAGUCUCUUCACCCACUGCACAGACGCGAUCUGGAUUUAACAUUCCAGCACUGGUGAACGUGAGCGGUUGACGACGCUCUCUAUUCUGUCCAGACGAGCCUUGGCCCGACUGAUAGCCAAUCCCAAACCUGUCCUCUUUCGCCGCAAUGUCUAUCAUUCUUCCCCAACCUGGGGCCUCUCCACUUCUCACCACCUCCACGGCCUGUUUGUAAGAAGCAAUGGACGGCUUUUUCUCUUCCUUAGCAAAAAUGGCAUUCUCCACCUUAACGGUUUCAAACGCCUGGCUUGGUGUUUCAAAUAUUUCACCGUCCAUUUCCACAUAUUUGAACGAUGACAGUUGGCUGACAAAAAUAUCCUCCUCCCCACAAACUGUUACGACCUGCCCGUCCCAGAUAUACUUUAACUUCUGGUGCAAAGUCAAAGUUACUGCCCCAGCAGCGUGUAUCCAUGGUCGACCCAACAAGCAACUGUAUGCCGGCUGAAUGUCCAUGACAUAGAACACAGACUUGAACACCUCGGGCCCAAUCUUCACAGGGAGCUCAACUUCCCCAAACACAGCCCUCUUAGAGCCAUCAAACGCUCUAACCACCAAAUCAGUAGGCCUCAACACCACUCUUUCGCAAUCUAACUUAGCUAGGGCCUUCUUAGGCAACACAUUGAGUGACGAGCCGGUAUCAACCAGAACGUGCGAAAGCACUUCUCCUUUACACUCAAUUGAAAUGUGUAAUGCCUUAUUGUGAUUACGUCCAUCCACAGUAAGAUCAAGAUCAGUGAAACCCAACCCAUGGCUGGCAUUGACAUUUGACACCAUUGUCUCCAGCUGAUUGACCAUAAUCUCCUACGGGACAUAGGCCCUCUUCAAGAUUUUUAACAAAGCCUCUCUAUGCCCUUCUGAGCUUAACAGCAAAGAUAAGAUUGAAAUCUUGGACGGAGUCUGCUGCAAAUGAUCAACAAGUUUGUACUCAGACUUCUUGAUAAUCCUUAAAAACUCCUCGGCUUCAUCAUUCUUCUGAGCUUAACAGCAAAGAUAAGAUUGAAAUCUUGGACGGAGUCUGCUGCAAAUGAUCAACAAGUUUGUACUCAGACUUCUUGAUAAUCCUUAAAAACUCCUCGGCUUCAUCAUCAAGCUCAUUUUCCGACCCAAGAGGCAUCGGUGCCGCUCUAGGAAUACCCUCAUUCAUCACCUGUUUACCUUUUGCCCUGCCUAAAGCCUCGGCCUUAUCUCUCUUUUCUUUUUCUGCAUCCCUACUCCUUAACAUGUCAGGCGCAAACAACCUCCCACUGCGAGUGAAACCACUAAGUCCGGCAUUAUCCACCUUUGAAACGGUGGUAUCACCUGCAACCUGAUCUUCCUGCUUCUUUCCAUUACAAUACACCUCCCCACCAUAGUCCCACGGCACAGCAUCAUCAUUUUCAUAUGGAAUGGGUCCCGGUACCGUGAUGGUAACUGGAGCCGCAUCUGUCGGCGCUGACAAGUAGACAGGGUCAAAAUAAAUGGUUAUUGUUGAAACAUCCUCCUUCUCCAAAUCAACUUUCUCAAAUCGGAGACUUCCCUCAUCCAUCAUUCUCUGAACCGUCUCCCUCAAUACAAGACACCCAUUUGUAGCGACAGUGCAAGCAGCACAACAAUUAUCACAACCCGGAAAAACUCCAUUUUUUAACAACUGUCUCUUGACCACAGACAUUGGAGUCCUUAUCUGAUCCACGUCCAUCACCCCAAUUUUUCUCUUAUCCUCCGAAAUUGCAUUCACCCCCAUCUGACCAUGCGUCAGCAUGGGAUUAGCAUUAACAUUUGGCGAUGGUGCAAAAUUGAUGGCUUUAGAAUCCACCAAAUCUUGAACAACAUGUUUAAAGGCCUUACAACCCUCAAUGUUAUGCCCGGGAGCACUAGAAUAGAAUUCACACUUAGCAUUCUCAUCAUAAUUGGCAGGCCUCUGGUCUGGUCUUAACGGAGCCAACGUCCUCAGCUGAACCAACCCAAGAUCUUUCAACUUCUUUAACAGAAAUGCAUACGUCACGAGUGGCCUAUCAAACUGACGAUCAAUCAUCCUUCCUCUCACUUGAUACCCGGCCCGUUGUGUUCUCUGCUGAAAUGGUUGUCGUUGUUGUUGUUGUUGCUGUUGUGCAGGUUGAAUAUCAGCAGGAAUUGUUACUGCAGCAGUAUGCUUGUAGUAACGAUCCCUACCAUGUCCUCUCUGGGCAUACACAACACUCGUGUCACCCUCCUUCUUACGCUGACCGUUCCCAAAUGGCUUCUUCGAUCCAGACGACGAAGCAUUUCCCUGUAUCUUUCCCAUUUUUAGCCAGCUUUCAAUUCUCUCACCAGCCACUACUAUGUCUGCAAAACCAGUGACGGGACAACCCACCAUCCUUUCCGCAAAGGUCCCCUGAAGGGUACCCAUGAACAAAUCAGACAUCUCCCGAUCCACUAACGGUGGUUGAACUCUGGCAGCCAACUCUCUCCACCUUUGUGCAUACUCUUUAAACCCUUCAUUCGGCUUCUGAGACAUACCCUGCAACUGGGUACGGCUAGGUGCCAUGUCAGCAUUGAACUGGUACUAUUUAAAGAAAGCAUCUCCCAAAUCCUGCCAGCUCUUAAUAUCUGAUGAUCUCAACUUGGUAUACUACUCAAGAGACCCACCAGAUAAGCCAUCCUGGAAGAAGUACAUCCAGAGCUUCUGAUCCAUGGUAUAGGAAGAUAUCUUUCGGACAAAGGCCUGAAGAUGAGUUUCUGGGCAAGAACUCCCAUUAUACUUAUCAAACGUGGGCACUUUGAACUUCUGUGGGAUCACAAUCCCCUCAACCAGCCCCAUGUUUGUCAUAUUGAUAGCCCCAGGAGAGGUAUGGCUUUCCAGAGCCCUGAUCUUUUCUGCCAGUACCUGAAUCUCUUUGUUCGGCAGUUGAACACCAUAUUGACCAAGUUGCUCGUUCAGCACAGAGAACUGAUCUUCUUCUUUAUCCUCCACAGCCCCAAAGAAAGGAGGAAACUGAUUAUCCUUCAGAGUAUUGCCCACAGGACCUGGCCCACCGCCUGCAGCGAAACCAAAACCACCACCAUUGUUGAUGAAUACUCCAGCAUUAGUUGCCUUCUUUCUGAGAUCGCUACCACCCCUAAAACCACCAGGACCAUUGUUGGAGUUACCCUCAUGACUAUUGCCAUUGUUGACGAUCGAAGCCAGCUCAAGCCUCUCCACCUUCUCGACGAUUGCUUUCUGUUCCAUGGCGAACUCUUGCAUGGCGCUGAUCAACUCACUCAUCUUCUCUUUCAGCUCGAGAAUGUCAGUAUUGGAUGGAUCCAUCAGUUUGGGUUUGUUGCGUCUGGUAGGGUAUCUGUGCGGACGAGCUACGUGCAAAGGAAUGAUUCUGCGUGCGCGAGCAAUGAUUCCUAAAACAAUCAAACACGUUAGAAACCAACACUGGACGAGCUACGUGCAAAGGAAUGAUUCUGCGUGCGCGAGCAAUGAUUCCUAAAACAAUCAAACACGUUAGAAACCAACACCUGCAAAAUAGAAGAUAAGUUAUUAUGAUUCAUGCAUGAAUGCAAUGUCUAUCCAUAUGAGGAACAUUCUGUCCUUCGAUUCUGGUUUCAUUGAGACGGAUAAUAAUUAGGCAGCAAUAUCAUGACAUCAAUCAUCAGGUUUCGCCGUACAGAAAAAAAGGUUGUGCUCUAGCAAAGAUAUCACCCGACCAUGUGUGUGUUAAGUGAGUGUACACGGAAAAACAAAUAAAGCGUUGAGAUCAAACACUGAAUGAUAAUAACCACUGUAUAGCAAAAGUGCGCUACACGUGCGAGAAUCAUACACCAUGUUUGAUACGAAUCAAAUUUACAAUCCUCCAGAAUCAAAAAGGAAUACAAUCAAGUGAAUUCCGCCAACAUGCCUGACGGUAAUCCAACACAUGAUAACACUGCAAUAAAAGCUAAUCUGAAUAAGGUCUCACAGAAGACUCUGCUCCAUCAACCAUCCUGGUAAACUUCAUAGCGAACCUGAGCUCAGUGUUCUCCAGCCGAAGUCUUCCCACCUCUUUCUGAUGAAUCUUCAUCUGACGGAAAUAAUGGUCCCUCUCAGCAAGAUAAUGAUCUCUCUCGGUCAUAAUCUUCGCUUUCUCUUCUUCCUUAAUCCUCAGCUUUGCUUCCCACUCUGUGGUAAGGGCCUUGGCUCUAGUUUCCCUUUGAGUCUUCACAAGGACUUGUCUCUUCUUUUCAUCUUCAAUGACUUUCAACGCUCUAGCCAACUUCUCUUUGGUAAUGUCGUGCUCCUUCGUAGAUGACUCUAACGCUUGGCUGAUCUUACAGUAAUAGGCGGUAUCUUUCUCAAAACGCUUCACCUCCUGAGCAUGUAUCCUAGCCUGGUCUUCUGCUUUCCCCUUGAUCUCCUGAUUAGCCAUUUGAAUUCUAGCAACACUCAUUUCUAUCUCAGCCUUCUCUGCUUGCAGUUGAUCUCUCGUCCUCCUCAUCUCAAGAAAUUCUUCCAUACUGACAGAAGAACGUGGCUCCUCAAUCAACGGAUACCAAAGAUCACCCACAGGAAAUGGCAGAUGAGUGAGCUCAACCCUCUCUCUGAGCCAAUCAUCAAAUGGAGGAAAAGACAUGUUAUUAGCUCUACCAAAAGGAACCUUGCCUUUCCUUUGAAUGUCGCGCCAUGCCUCAGACACUUGCCUAAACAAUGACUGAUUACCCUCGAUCGGGAAGUAGAAAGACUCCUGAAUCUCACGCUCGAAGGGAGGACCCUCCAUAGCAAAUCCCAUUUGUCUCUUAAGAAGCGUCGGGUUGUAAUUAAUACACCCUUGAACUCCUAUAAGGGGCACAUUGGGAAAGCUCCCUCAACUGCAAAUAAAAUCUCGUCCAGCCACACCACUGUGAGUCCAAGCUAUGUCCUUGGCUCGCAAACCCAUUAACUUGGUUGCCCAAUUAACCGUAUGGUCAAGAAAGCCAAAGGCACCUCUGGAAGGCAAAUAUCCCAUGAACCAUUUAUAUAACAGUUGAGCACAAUAUCUAACCAAUCCUCCACGCCGCUUCUCGUUCCGAUUAUGGACCGAGUAAUAAACAUCCCCAAUCAAGGUAGGAAUGGGAUUCCUCUGAGCAAACACCCGGAUGGCAUUAAUAUCCACAAAAUUCUUCUGAUUAGGGAACAGGAUAAUUCCAUAAAUGCUUACAGCAAGCAGAGCACAGACAGUCCUCAAAUUACCCGAAACAACAUGUUCCUUGGCUCUGGCCUCCAAGAAACUCAGAUGAAAACCGGGCAACUUUCCUUUCUCCUUCAAACCCUUCUUAGUCACUUCCUGGCUCAAACAAAGAGCACGAGAAAUCUCAACAACACCAGGUUCUUCCUUAGUAACAUAAAAAGGAAUCUGGUUUCUGACCCGAAUACCCAGAAUACCGACAUAAUCUUCCAUCAAAGGUCCCAACAAAUAGUCUGGGAAGACAAAACAUCUCAAACUCGGAUCAUAAAACUGGAGAAGAGUAUGGAGGGCACUCCUAUCCCCAUCUGUGAGCCUGAAAACCAUCUUCAUAAUACCGCCAUAAGCUUCACGGAACAUCCCCACAUGGUCAGGUGUAAUCAAUGAUAUCAUACCCUUCAGCACGCUAAUCUCUGGAUUAAAGAAACUGUAGACAACAUUGUCUUUUAAGCCGGUCCUCAUACCUGGAACAAAGAUGUCUCUCAACCAGAAUCUCAAUCAAGAAUGUACCCUGCAUAUGGAUAAACAUGAGUUAGAUACGGAUAAAUGCAAAAUGGGAAUGAUGCAGAUGCAUGAAUGCAAUGCAUAAUUCCAUCCUCCAAGACAUCUGAGCACCAAUUGUACUGGAUUCCGGUCUCUGAACUGAUCACAACCAUCUGAGGGACUAAGUAACCACAAAUCCAACUCGGGGUUCCGAAAUAAACGGAACCGGAGGAUAUAUCACCAUCAUCACAGGAAAGCCACAGAACGGAUAACCACAAAACCAUCUGAACAAGUAACCCUUAAAUUCAACCCGGGGAUCCGAAAUAAACGGAACCCGCUGAUAAAUACCACGGACAGAACUCCGGCGUGUCAGAAAUAAACAUCCAUAAAUCCAACUUAUAAAUAGAACUCAGAUCACAAACCGAACCAAAGUCACCAUCAAAGAGUCACCAACAGAACCUGUAUCUGUAAGAAUCAAACCCCUCCCCUCACAGGUGAAUUCUAAUACGGUCAUCCUAAGGCGGAUAAUGGUCUCGACAAUCGGACAAGAUACUCAACGGGUUUGCCCUUUCGGGUGUGCCGUGCAGCUCUCAUAAGAUCAUCUAAACCAAAGAUCCGGGAAAGAACGGUCACCGUUUGCCCUUUCGGGUGUGCCGUGCAGCUCUCAUAAGAUCAUCUAAACCAAAGAUCCGGGAAAGAACGGUCACCGAAGUCAACAGCUCAAAAGAGGUAACCCAACCAUAGUGGAUACUCCACCAGGAAGAGCUCUCUCAGAAGAACCUCGUCCGGUUGUGGUAUGUCACGUCGCCACAAACAUGUUGACCUAACAUGUGAGGAAACAUGAGACCACGCUAAUCCUAAGUGUAUACUCGAGCCUGGGUUUUAGCCCCACUCAGAACACCCACCCCCAAAUCAUAGGAACCACACAUGUCCAGAAUCCAACACAGUGAUAAUAUGAUGCAUGCAAACAUAUAUGCAAAUAUCUACAAUCACAGUAUAAUAAUCACAAAUGCAAUAAAUUAGCAGUAAAAGCAACCCAAACUACCCUAAAAACUACACUAGAGAGCGCUAGGAUUAACUCGCUUAGGGAAGAUGGACUAGUAAGAGGUCAACCUUUAUCCCCAGCAGAGUCGCCAGCUGUCGCAACGCGAAAAACAACCGGCGGAAAAAUACAGAGCCGCCACCGACGCUAUUCAUCCUAUGACGGAAAGGGAGCGCAGGACUAACCUAAGAAAGGGAAAGGAAUCAACCGGCGGAAAAAUACAGAGCCGCCACCGACGCUAUUCAUCCUAUGACGGAAAGGGAGCGCAGGACUAACCUAAGAAAGGGAAAGGAACGGUCUUACGACCAGAGAUUAUAAGGUACGGGAGUCGAUUACGCAAGGGGAAGGUAUUAGCACCCCUCACGUCCGUCGUACUCGACGGGAUCCACGCUCAAAAAGAUAGCUCAAAGAAUAGGAAAAGGUUGCUAAUAAAAUUGCUCAAAGGAAUUGCACAAAUUGGAAUAAUAAAACAGAUGAAAGAAGACGGAGGAAGUGGACUCGGCAGGAUGUCGCAUCCUGGGCCUACGUAGUUUGUCAGAAACAAACAUCAGAGUCAACAUAGUUCGGGGAAAGGGAGACAUGCUCGCUAGGAUAUCGCAUCCUAUGCCUACGUAUCUUCUCUAUCCAUAGGAGAAUUAGAGCACUCGUAGCUCGGCUAACACACGCCGAAACAAGACACCAAAAAGGAGACGCUGAGACGUCAAAAGAAACACUCAAAAGGAAACAGAAUGCCAAUACAUGGACUUAUAUCCGACUCCCAACAAUAACCAACAAAAGGAAACAGAAUGCCAAUACAUGGACUUAUAUCCGACUCCUAACAAUAACAAACGCUAACCAGCGAACACCAAAGAAAAAAAAGUUAUCAGAAUGAACCCCGAUAUGUAUAACCAAUCACCACAAAUGAACCCCAAAAGAUGAACCCCGAAUGAGUGACAACCGUCACAAAUGAACCCCAAAUGAGUGACAACCGUCACAAAUGAACCCCAAAGAUAAACCCCAAGUGAGUGACAACCGUCACAAAUGAACCCCAAGUAAUAACAAUCAUCACAAAUGAACCCCAAAGAUAAACCUUAAAUGAGUGACAACCGUCACAAAUGAACCCCGAAGAUAAACCCCAAGGUAUAAACAUACCACACACGCUCAUGCUAGACAAACAAGUACUCUCACCAAAACAAAGAAAAGGGUGAACACACAGAGACUCAAGGAAAAGGGUGAACAAACACACGAAAACAACACAGCAAAAAAGAAAAAGGGUGCCCGGAGAGAUUGCUUGCAACCUCCUGCCUACGUAUCUCAUUUGGUAUGAGAAUCAGGGCGACGUAGUUCCCCUGAACAGGGGUAUAACACUCUCCUAACCAGAGACCAGGGAGACAAUAAACUAAUAGGGAGACUAAGACUCGAGCCUAAUAGUUGUCAUGCAAUCGAAUCCCUAGGUUGAGGUCUCUAACCUGCACUCAACUCACUCUGGAAGCGAGCCAACUGAAAAGAAAAUAAUCACCAACACAAGUGAAUAAGCAUCACACACUAUAUCCAUACAAGAGGCCCAAACAAUGGGUAGGCUUUAGUCAAGAGGGGUCAUAUCAACCUCGACAAACAAGCCAAACUGUAAUGGGUAAUCUGUAGCUCUUAACCACUAACAUUGAGAGUUAGGGUGAAGCUGAUCAAAAUGGUAAUGAGGAUGAGACCUCAUGCUCUUAACCCUGGCCUGGGUGAGCUCAAAACAAAGAAAGUGUGGGGAUCCAGAAAGUGAGAUCCUAUUCCACUUGACAGACUCUGGACAAAGAUCUUGGGUACAUGUUCAGAAGCAUCAGCACGUAGUGCGAGCAUAAUGAACGACUCAAUGAAUAACGGGGGAUUGGCUACUAAUCCCCUUUAUCCGUCAAUUGCCUCUUCACUUAGGAGGACUUAUCAAGUAACACAUGCCUCAUCUUGGAGGUCUUUGGCACAAUCUGUAAACAAACACAAAUAGAGCCUCUUAAGGAGGACUUCCAGCAAAAUGCCUGCCAAAAAAAGUGACAGGACUUCCAGACUACAUGGAGUAAGAAGAUAACUACCUAAGUGGUGUAUCAACCAUAAUCCAAAGCUCAAGCAAGAGCUAAAAGCAAGCAACUAAGGUACCUGUACAAAAGCUAACCAGUUAAUAUUUCAGACAUAAAAUCAAAAAACAAACAGUGAAACCAUCCAACUGUACACAACUCAAUGAACAAUGCUCAAGCACUCAAAUGAGCUCAAGCCUAUCACUUAGAACCCUACAAAACAAACAAAAGUUAGAAUUCAAAUCAUUUGCAUAAAUCAUUUGCAUCUCACAAAGUGAGACCAAACCAACCAUCAAUGCUAAAUGUCCAAACCUGAAACACAAGUCAAGGUUAGUUCAUGUACAAAACACUAGUACAAAGACUAGGUCCAAAACCAAACCUAAUGAUCAAAACAGAAGUCAAUCUUUUACACAAAGCUCAUUCAAACACUUCAUUCAAUGUCCUCAAAAGGACCAGCAUCAAUUCAAAAAGCAAAGGCAUCAAAUGACUCAUGUAAUGCAAUGACCAAACAAUGUGCACAAGAUGAACUUCCAAUUUAGAAAAUCCAUAUCAAAUGGAAAAUGCAUGCAAUGGCCUUGAGAUUUUUCAUACCAGUUCCUCAUGUCAUGAACAAACAACAUGCAAAAAAUUAAAUCCAGAAAGGUUCAAAUGAUAUAUGAACAAAAAUGCAACAAUUCAAUGUCAAAAAUGUGACACAAAUUGUCACAUUAUUCUCCAUGUGUCAAAAACAAUGAUGACAUAUGAGAAAAAAUCCAAACCAGUGCUUAAAAUUCAUAUCAUGAGUGAAUAUUAAGCAUGUAAAAAAUUUGAUCAAGAAGCUCAACACAUAGAAUUUCACAAGGCAAUGAACAUAACAUGUCAAGUUAACACAAGGUUCAAUCAAAAAUCCACAAUUAAAAAAAUCAGACAUCAACAAAUCAUGAAAAUAAUAUCAAAAAAAACUAGACAUUCAUACAAAACUAGGAAAAAAAAUUGGAGUUAAUUUGGAUCAUUUUCCUAUUUUUAAUGAUUUUUCUAAAUGAGCAAAAUAAAAUGGAAUAGCAAAAUAAAAUGGAGGGAAAAACAAAAUUCAAAUUAAAUCAGAAUAAAUUAAUAAAAUGGAAUAGCAAAAUAAAAUGGAGGGAAAAACAAAAUUCAAAUUAAAUCAGAAUAAAUGAGAGCCACACGAUGAAGCGCGCAAAAGCAAUCCAGCGGUCCACAUUCAAAUGUCAAAACACACCGUUUCAUUAAACACGGUGGCAUGCUCAGUCAGCUAGUCCUGAGACGCAUGGCAAGUCAAAGCAAUUCAGUCCAAUCAAUUAUACAGGCAAGGCACACAUCAGCAUACAGCAUGGCUAAAUGAAAUGAUGCGUUUCAUUUAUUAGUCAGCACACCACAUCAUCGGUCAAAGCAAACGCGUGACUAGUCAAUGCAAUUACAACCAAACAAUUGGUCACGAAGGCGCACACAUGGAACACACGUGGAUCCAGCAAGGCAAACCCUAACAAAUAACCAGACGCCGGAGCUGUAGCUCCGGUCGUCUUCUCCGACCAACCAGGCGGUGGCACCGCCGUGGAAAUUUGCAGAAAUACACAAACCAUACAUCAAUCGAACCGCUCUCUCACAAGGAAUCCAAAUAUCAUAUCAAUUCUUCCUAAAUCAUCAUGUAUUUUCCAGAUCGAACGAAAACAUUUUCAUAAUCAAAACUUGAAGUUCACAUAACAUGCUCAAUUCUCAUCCAUUUUUAAAUCUAAUCAUAUCUACGUGCUCUACAUAGUGAGAUCUACACAACUAUAACAAGAAAACAGCAAAAAGAGAUGAUGAAUUUCAACUCACUUGGAAAUGCAGGUUGAUGAAUUCGUGUGUUCAAGCUCUCAAAAGCUCCAGAUCCACUCUACUACACUUGACUUGAAGCUUUGUGCACGAAUCAACAGUUGAAACCACCUGGAUCUAGCUCAAUUUCCAACUUCCAUCUUCAUGAGAUUGUGCUUGAAUUGCUCCAAUUCUUGAUGAAUUGCACCAAACCAAAGCUGAUUCUUGAUCAGUGAGAUAUGAGGAUCAUGAUUAUGCAAAAAUAUUUGAGGUUUAUGUGGAAAAAAUGGAAGAAUCGGAGAGAGAAUUUCUUGAAUUUUGAUCUCAAAAGUUAGUUAUGGCAGUUAUGGCUUAGGGUUUGGCUUAUAUACUCCAUGCUAAUGACCAUGCUAAUCACACUUUGCAUUUGUUAAUCAAGAUUAAGGAGAUUUGAAGUGAUUUGAAAAAAUGCAAAAUGAGUUCAUUAUGCCAUGUUCUACGUGUACAGUACCAUGCAAGGCUUGGAAUUCACUUAAAAUCAACCAAGGAUCAACAUGGAAUUGGUAUUUUGCUUGUAUCAUAAGCCAAAUUUGAAUUAUGGAAAUUCCCUCCAAAAUAAACACAUGAGAAAUGAUGAGCAUACACACUUUUCCCAUGCAUGGCAAAGGCUAUUUUGAGAUGUCUUGAACAUUAGAAGCACUUUGCAAAAAGAAUGGGCCAAUUUGGAGCUUUGUAUCAAAAGUUAGGCCAUUUUGAAUUUCCAUGCACACCUUGUGAUCAAAUGAUCAUAACUCCUCAACCAUUCAUCAUAUGGACAUGAAUUAAGGCUUUUUUAAAAGGGGAGAAAAAGAUCUACAACUUUCAUGUUCACCAAAAAUCCAUUUGAAACAUCUUUGAUAUUGAAAAGUUAAGUUGAAGGUGGACCAAAAACUUGCCAAAUUGGGAAACUUUGAAUUACAGGUUACUUUCCAUUUUUGGAAACUUUUGCCAUGACCUUUGCAUCUUCAAGAUGUAUGUUUAAAAUUAUGAAUGGACCUCCUUUGAACAAGAUUUAGGUGUCUCAAUUCAUUUCCCCACCUCAUAGCCCUCAGUUGACUGCAUAGUUGACUUUUGGUCCUCAGAUGACCUUGACAUGCUUUGAUUCACUUGAGUCUCUACCACUUGGGGAAAUUGCUCAAAAAUGAAACCCUAGUUCAUGUAAGCUCCUUAUAGCAAUCAUAUGAUCCUCAUCCCCAGAAAAUACCUCAUCUCUUUGAGAAGCCUUGGUUGGAAGAAAUGCAUUGAUUAGGGUUGACCAGAGGUCACAACCCUAAUCCCAAGGAACUUGAGGAUGAACUAUGAAACCCUUGAUGAUGAUAGAACCAUGAUGAUGGUAAGAUAUCCUUUCAAACAAGAUGAUGCCCAAGACCUUUGAAGAAUCAAGAAACCCUAAUUGAAGUACAAACCCUCAGAUGGUUGAUAAUCAAUUCAUAGAGACCCUCAUGCUUGAAUCAUGUAACUUCUCCAUCUUUGACAAGAUUUUGGAGGAUGACCUUCUUAUUUCCCUAUGAUAUGCAAAAUGCAAUGCCUAAUGCUCUAAAAUACGAAAUGCAAUGUGUCAAACUAGUCUCAAGAAGAGGAGGGCAAAUUUUGAGGUGUUACACUAUGAUAAGUGAUUUUUUUAUGAUUGAUAUGGCUUUGGUAUGAAUUGGAUUACAUGGUCUUGGAUGUAUUAAUUAAUGUUAUUUAAAAUGAAGAUGGGAUUGAAAUGCUAGAAGUAUGUUAAAAUAUGCUUAAAUUGGAAGUUUGCUGCAGGUAUGAUGAGCAAUGCAUAGAACCGCAACUUACAUACGGUUAUGCUCUAAUAUUGUACUUUUCAUUUUAUCAAAGCCAAAAUUUCAAAUAAGAAUAUAUAAACAGUCAAAGUUAAAAUGAUACAUUUAAAACUAAUUUUACAUGUCUUGGAAUUGUCACCGCAUUUGUGUAUAAAUCAAUUUCAGGAAUACUUUUCUUGAGGGAACGGGGGGUCCGGCNNNNNNNNNNNNNNNNNNNNNNNNNNNNNNNNNNNNNNNNNNNNNNNNNNNNNNNNNNNNNNNNNNNNNNNNNNNNNNNNNNNNNNNNNNNNNNNNNNNNNNNNNNNNNNNNNNNNNNNNNNNNNNNNNNNNNNNNNNNNNNNNNNNNNNNNNNNNNNNNNNNNNNNNNNNNNNNNNNNNNNNNNNNNNNNNNNNNNNNNNNNNNNNNNNNNNNNNNNNNNNNNNNNNNNNNNNNNNNNNNNNNNNNNNNNNNNNNNNNNNNNNNNNNNNNNNNNNNNNNNNNNNNNNNNNNNNNNNNNNNNNNNNNNNNNNNNNNNNNNNNNNNNNNNNNNUUUUUCAUUUUAUUCACAAAGCCUAAAAUUUCAAAUAAGAAUUGAUUCACACUCAAAUUUCAAAUGACUAACAAUUUUAAAACUACUUUUACCAUGGUUCUGAAUUUGGUCACCUUUUUGGCUACUACUAUCAAUUUUCACGAAGAUCCUUUCUCUUUGAGGUGAAAGGAGGGGUCCGCGAUUAAAACAUAUGGUCAGAAAAAGAGGAAGGGACUUGGGAAAGUAAAAGAACAUAUAUAUUAUGUUUCCAUGAAAAAAAUCAAUGGCCAUUAAUGAAUGUUAAACUGGACAAUGUAUUUGGUUGUGGAGUUGGAUAGCAAAAAAUGGUUUAUGGCUAAUGAGAAUUUGAAUUGGAUAUGAAAAUAGGCUUAAGAAUUUGGGUAUGGGUAAAAAAGGAAGAAUGGGUUUUAAUAAAAAUAUAGAAUGCAUGGAUUAUUUAAGUUCACUCACCAUGGCCCACUAGUGAAAAACCGAAACAAGACAAUUUUAACAAUGGGAUCAAAUCGAAAUUAAAAAAGGUUAAUGGUUCCUAAAGUUACUUUGAUAAAAGAAAAGCAAAGCCUCCUAAAAAUCAACCCAAAGGCCGACUUGAAACCCCAAAGACCAAUUUGGGCGUAAACCCAUCUGAACCUCCGAGAUUAAAUCAGAUUUGAAAUCAAUUUGAAAAAGAAGACUAAGACACAAAUGAUGACUGAAUAAGCGCCGGAUUGAUGAAUCCUCAUGGCGCGACCUAUGGGUCAGAUCGUAUCAUGGCCAAAUGGACGAAUGGAUAUCGACCCCAUUAUGCACCAGAAACAUAUGACCAAGAACCAACUGGCUAAUCAAGAAUGGAUCCAGACCCCUAAAAAUGAGAUAUACAACCCCCUGGGACCCCUGAUCAUCAAAACACGUGGCAAACCCUGAUGAUCGAGGCAAUGAUCAGGUAUGAUCAAAUACCUUCAAAUCAAGCAAUUUACCAAACAAAUGAAAUUAUUCCCCGAUGUUAUAGACCAAGACAUCAGGGCUCGAUUGCCUGAUCCUCCUCAAAUUGUGAAUGAACCAGAGUGCUCACCAGGUGCAAGCAUAAAGCCAUGAAUCCAAAUCACUUGUAUCCUCUUGUAUUGGACCAUGAUUGUGCAGAUGAAAUGAAAUGUCUGUAAGGCUAUGCAUAUGAUUAAGGUUAGUGACCUAGAUGAACUUUGUGAAAGGUAGGGUGAAAUUUGGGGUAUGACAGUAACAUGUUGGGAUGAAUGGGGCUUUCUCCCAUUCCUUUUCUUGUUCCUCUUUUUGUUUCUUUUCAUGCCUCAAAAAUAUUUUGAAGUCCUUUACUGUAAGGGGCAUGUCACUGCUAGAGUCAGAUUCCUCUACUUUGAAUGUUAGGCUUUUGGUUUUCUUUUCUUGUUCAUCAUUUAUGACAAGUCUUUUAAGUUCCAUCUCGUGUACCUGUACUUUGAAAAAUAAAGUGUUUGUGUGUCGAUAGUUAAAUUCUUAAUGACUAUUGGGUUUCCAACUACGGUUUAGGCAUCUAAGAAAUUUUAUAACUAGGUCCUCGUUUGAAUUACUUUGAAAAAUAAAGUGUUUGUGUGUCGAUAGUUAAAUUCUUAAUGACUAUUGGGUUUCCAACUACGGUUUAGGCAUCUAAGAAAUUUUAUAACUAGGUCCUCGUUUGAAAGUGUUAUUCCCAGAGUUCUCAUAUGACAUAUGAUAUGGGUAAAUUGUCACUACUGCGUAAAUGCUCUUUCACCCUGGUUGGAAAAGAGAUACGAUCACGGUUGACCAACUAUGGUAGGGUAAGGCAUAAUAGUAAGUAUGUUGCUUUCUAGCACAAGCAUAUGGCCGUGAUGACAAACUAUGUCGCACGCUACAUAUCACAAAGGUUAUCUCAAACAAUCUUGGUGAAACAUAUUAAGGUCGUGGACUCGAUUCCCAAUCAUAAUAUGAUAUAUAAUAAUUGACACUCUAGCUAUCACCAUGGUGUCUUAUUCAAUUAUGGUGAAAGACUUUUUUUUAAAAUAUUCUUUUUUAUUAUUCCAUUUAUGUCCCCUUUUUUUUAGUACUUAUAUGCUAUAUUUUACCAUAAUAAAAUUAGCAAAUAUGCAUAUCUUUGUAACCAAAAUAUGACUAUAAAAUAUUUCCAUCAAACUUAAAAGUAUAGCAAACAUAUAAUUACAAAAUAUAGCUUUACCAAAAUGUAACCAGCCUAAAUAUUAUUUACAUCCAACAUAAAAAAAUAGUAAACUUAUAUUACAAACUUAUGUAUGAUCAACCUUACCUAUAAAAUGCAUUGAAAAAAAACACCAAACAUGCAUAUACGUCUCUAAAAUCUUCUUCUGAUAAUGAUGUAGUGUCACUACAAUAUACAAUAAAAAAUACACAACUAAUAUUUGUAAUAGUAAAGAAACACAACAAAUACUAUAAUUUUUGUUGAUUAAUAUAAAAAAUAAUAAUACAACACAGAUAUUUAUCAUUAAAGCAUAAAAAAAACACAAGAUAAAUAUUUGAGCGGCAAAAUAAAUCCGCUUCAAAUCAAAUGCAAAUAUAAAUCAAAUAAAUUUUUCAUAAAAUAAUAACAAGAAAGUUUGCACAAAGAUAAUUAGACGAUGAUGUUAUAGAACUAGAUCCAUAAUCCAUUACGAUAUAAGAAAUAUAAUAUUUUAUUGAUAUGAUAAUAAGGCAUACAUGAAAACAAUGCUAUAACAACACAACAUAAGCCAUAUAUAAUAAUUCAAACACGUUUAAAGGAAGUGAGGUUCCUUAAGUGCUUCAAUGGCUGAUCCGACACAGCAGCUUCAUAAUUGUUAGACGAUGAACCGUCUUUGGCAGAAAGAGUGAGGUGGUAGUUGGUCCCUGCAACAACCUGUGAUUCACCUUUGAUAAGUUUCUCAAACUCCAAUGUUGCUCCUUUUUGCUUGUUGUACUCGACAACUGCGAAACGGGCUAUUUCAAUCACAUAUGGAUCAGUGAUGUUCUUUAUGGGUGUCCAACCGCCUGGUAUAGCUUGAUUCAGAGUGGCCGAAGCAAACAAAAUAAGGAAGAGGAGACUAAGGGAUUGAAAUCUCAUGAUGUCUGUUAACUUGAGAAAUCAAGAUGGUGUGAGUUAAACUCUGUGGUGUGGAGGAGUAGUUAUAUAUAAUGUACAAAAGUUAUGCCAUUUUUGGUGAUAUACUCUUUUAUUCGUUGAAUUAAAUCAAAAAUUUCAUUUGAUUUUAUUUCAUGAAAAUAAAAUAAUUUUUUUUUUACCAAAUAAAUAAAAUCUCUUUAAUAAUAUAUAAUAUUUAAUAAACCUACAAUUAGUUUAAUAGAAAAGUAUGGUCAAAAGUAUUAUAUUUAAUGUCAUUCAAGGAAAAUGUUGUCAAAAGUAUUAUAAAUAAUGUUAUUCUAAAAAAUGUCAUACAAUGUUUCUGUUUUUUUAAUAUAUUUAUUUAUAUAAAACAUUUGUAUAAUAGGUUGUUCUAUGUUUUUGAUUUUAUCUUAAUAAAUGAUAAUUAUUUUUUUUCAAUUUUUUUAAGUAAUAAUGAUAAGAGAUUAAUUACUAUACACUGUCAGUGUAAAAAGUUUUACACUGUCGGUUCAUCACCAUCACCCGUUUGUAUUACUUUGUAGAUUUUUAAAAUAAAAGUCAAACAUCUUUUAAUAUUCAACGUCUAUAAUUAACUGACGGUGUAAAACCCUUUUACACUGUCAGUGUAUUUCAAUUAAUCUCUAAUGAUAAAUAUUUUUCUUCUAUAUUUUAUAAUAUUUGACAUGCACUUUCUUUCUUUGUCUCAAUGAAAUAUUUAUUCCUUGUUUAAUUUAAUAUUUAUUAGUGACAAAAUAUUUGUUCCGCGCCAUUUAAUUUAUUAUGACAAAUUAUAUAAUUCUAAAAAAAUAGAACAAUUAUUUUUUUUACAAUAAAAAUAAAUAAUCAUUAUUUAUUAUUAAUAAAUAACAAAAUAGGAGACAAAAAGUUAUCAUUCAUGUAUAAAAAAGUGCAAGAUAAUCAUUUUUUUUAAUAUAAAAAAAAUGGGACACAAAUAUUUAUUGUUGAUGCAUAAACAAAAAUGUGACAAAUAUUUUUUAUCGAUACACAAAUUAAUUAAUAAAAUGUAAGUUCAAGAAAAGGAAACAUGUUUUUAACAUAUAGGUGAAAAUUGAAGACUAUAUCAUCAUAUAAAUAAUCCGGUUUAAAUUUCUUUGGCCCAUAAAAAAAUAAUGAAAAAAAUAAAGGGAAUAUAAAGCAUUAAAUUCAAGAUGUGUGUGACUGAAACGGAGGAGGGUCUCCUUACCUUUUGUUGGUGCACAAGAUCAAGCCCAAACUCAAAAGGCAAACCACAUGAUCAAUGAGUACCAAAGACCAAGAACUAGGGUUUUGCGCAUAAGUAAAUAUCAUGAUUGUAAUAUUUAUGAACCAUGGUCCCAAGCAAUAAGAAUUAAGGUUUCACCCCUUGAUUCCAUAUUGAUUGCACCACCACAAUCUCUAGGGCUUGAUCCUCAAGCAAACCCUAGCUUUUGUCAGGUAUAUAUAACCACAAACUUUGAGUCUAUAAUGUAUGUUUGAGAGUGCUAACAUGAAUGAAUGAUGCAUAUGUAUUUGAUAUGAAUGAGUACAGAUGAAUCUCAAACCACACGUCAGAUGAAAAGUAAAAAGGGGAGGGCAAAUUUUGGGGUAUGACAGCUGCCCCUAUUUAAUCAUCUUAAACCUGAAUGUGUGAAUUGUGACACCUUUUCGGGUAUUCAAGGUAGAAGAGGAUUAAAUACCAAAAUAUUCGGAAAUUUUCCCCUUGAGAAUGGUUGUAAUGUGAGAAGGUAAGUGUAUUGGGAAUAUGGAAUGACAAGUAGACUUUUAUAGGUUCAUCUGUUGGGGAUUGACUGAAAUACUCUGUUGGGGAAAUAUAUCAGUCGAAAAGGAAAAGCAUGAUAUGCAUGCUAUAUGCAAUGUAUGUUUAAUUUUUAAUAAUACAUGAAAUUAUGUAUUCUACAUAGAAAUGUGGGUUAUUUUAUGAUAAAUGAAUGAUAUCCACAAGGGUAAGAUUUUUCUGGUGUAGAGUAGACUUCAACUCACUGAUAGUCGCACCAAAGAACAUGUAAUGAAGGAAUGCUUUAUGUUACCACCACUACUGGAUAUGUUCACUUGAUCCUGCUGGGGAGGAAAGAGUGUGAUCUGAUCGAGCAUUCAUUGAGAUGCUCUCAUAUAUCAAGCACUUUCUAGGUAAUCAAAGCAACACACAAAGCUUUGCUUGUUCAUUUUCAAGGCUUCAUGCUAUGAGCGAAGCGACAUGAUUCCACAUGGUGAUGAAUUAUGCAAUGGUUAACCAGAUGCUCAUGUGGCGGGAGGUGGGAGAUUUAAGACUAGGAUAAAGGUCAUAAAGACGUGAUUCUCCGAUGCCAACUUCAGGCUCAACAGUUUUCGUCACACCUUUGCGCUGUUUUAAAAUAGGGAGAAAACGUGUACCUUAGUAGCCUACCUCUUCCCCAGUCUGUAGGGUGUCUGCAUGAAUUUCCCCAAUCACAAAUUAUGAAGCAGUCUUGUCAUGGGAAGAUCUUGAUUUGGCUUUCCCCAGUGUCUUGAAACUGUAUCUCCUUGAUCAACCAUUUCCAGGAGUGUUUGACUUCUCGUGCUCUUGAGUUGGCAUGCCCCAUUAUGAGCCUUGAAGUGACUUUAUCCCUGGUUGGCUAAGCUAGGAGAGAUUUGUCUUCUCGAUGUGAUUGCCCCAGAUUGAAUGAGUCUUGAAGUGGUAUUCACUUCUUCUCAAGGGAAUGUUCAGGCAUUUUACCCUUUGGUAUGAUCAAACUUCCCAUUAUGGAAACUUUCUUGAUGUCAAAUGCUUGUUCGUAAGUAAAAAUGUUUAUUUUUCAAAUGAUAAUUCUAACGUUAUGUUUAUGUAAAUUUUGAAAUCCAAAUAUGGUCACUAAAAUUAUGAGAUAUAAUGAAUGAAUCAUUAGUUAAUAUGUCAUAUCAAUACCAACAUAAAGGAUAAGCAAAUCUUUAAGAGUCAGUUUUACAUGAUCCUAGUAUAGUAUGCUUUUCAAAAUAAACCAUGCUUCAAUUAGGUCUUUUGAGGGUUAUGAUGUGGCCUGGUUCACGGUUUUAGAAGUAAAGGAUACAAGGCUCGAAACCUAUUCUAACCCGCCCAUUCUCCUUGAUGUUCUACAGUCCUACGUUCAGCUCGCUCAACACAAACACUUAUUUUUCAAAAUGGAUUCUGAAUAUUAGUUGUGAUGGUUAAGGGACCCAUGAGAUUUUGAGAGUGACAAUCACCCACCUUUUACUUUUUCUUGUAGCCACACGAAUUUUCUCUUGUUGAGGAUUCUUGAUUCCUCUUUUUUUUUUCUUUCCCUUAUUUUUGCCAGGACUGAUCCCUUUUUAAUCUUGCAGUCCAUCGGGAUGCCCUAAUUUUCUCCUAAGUCACUUAUUUUCAAGUUUUCGACUUAGCAGACUUUUCUUUUGCUUUUGAUUUCUUUGCAUUUCUCAUUUUUCUUCUCUCUUUUUAAUCUUGCAGUCCAUCGGGAUGCCCUAAUUUUCUCCUAAGUCACUUAUUUUCAAGUUUUCGACUUAGCAGACUUUUCUUUUGCUUUUGAUUUCUUUGCAUUUCUCAUUUUUCUUCUCUUUUGAGAAAAAAUUCUGUGACAUUUGCUUGAUUUGUUGAAAGGGUUGUGACUGUCUCGCUCCUUUUUUUUUGUAAGGGAUAACCAUUAGGGAUCUGUGAUUCAAUCCUCGCCUGAGGGAUAUUAUGUGGUUGAUCCUUAGAUAGGAUACUCUCAUUUUUGAAAUUUCAACGCACGGUCAAACUAGAUGAAGACUACCCUACCCCUGGUUAAGACUGAGGGUUUUAUGUAUAGAAAGAAACUCCUACUCCAAGGCCCAAAGCGUUGACUAGGGAUUAUCUUCCUUAUACCUCCGGUGUUUAGGGAUUUGAAACAAUGCCUUACAUCGUCAACAAGGUUUUAUUCAAAAGCAUACAACCAGUAGUCUCGUGUACUUUGAUUUCAUCAUUCUCUUUUGAUUUUUAUUAAGCAAAAGUAUGAUAUUGUAAAAAAGAUAUGAGUGAACACGAAUGGAUUGAUUCAAAACAUGCAUAUUCAAUUCAUUAUGAUUAUUAUUAAAAAAUAAACAAGUUUUUACAAGUGGAUAUUACAUUGACAAACAAGAAAAACUAUAGAUGAAAAUGAAUGAAAAAGUGAUCUUCAGUGUUGAUUAGUCACCAUUUGUGCUAGAAUUUUCAUCAGUUAUACGUCAAGAAACCAGGUAAAUUGUAGAAGUUUCAGCUUAAUUAUGGGUAAUUCGAGUCAGUUGGUGUCUUAAUAGUAUUUUCUUUGUUUAAGUUUCUGUUAUCUAUUUUUAUGCUUUUGGUAUGUGUGGCAUGUUGGAUCUAGGUAUAAAGGCACAAGGAAUCAAGGAUCGGACGCAGGACAUGGCCAGAACAAGGAAUUAGAGAAAAAAAGAAAAAAAAAAGUGCAAGCAUCUUCCCAUAUGCAUAUGUACUCAUAUAAUACACGUAUGAACCUGCACUAUACGCGUACCUUACUGUAGCACCUCAAAUUUGCACCCAUCAUUGUACAUACAUUCUCAUAUUAGGUCAUAGCAUAUCAUGGUCCAUUGCAUAGCAUUGCAUUGCCUCAGUUGCCUCAAGUACAAGCAAGUCAAGAAUUAGGUCAAGACUGAUCAGAUCGGGGAGAUCAAGUGCACCAAGCAAGCAAGGGUGUUUCUCAAGGAGAAAAGGCCCUAGGUUUGUCCAACAAGUUCACAUGACUUGGAGGUCCAUUUGAAGUUUUUAAGUCAAGGGUGCGAUGUUCAGAACCAUCAGUUCAUGCACAGACAGUCAAAAACCUAGAAAGUCAAAGUUAGUCAACUGUGUUGAUUUUGGGGUUUUUUUUUUUCGGGGGGGGGGGAUGGAUGGAUUGGGUUUGAGAGGGCUUAUUCAUGUCCAAUAGGCCUCAUAUAUCAUGGCAAUCAACUCAUUGAAGAAUUUGAAGCCAAUCAGAAAAUUUCCAAAAAUAGAAACUGGACUGUAAUUUUAACUGCAAAAAUGGAAAACUUCUUGAUCCUCACUUGCAUCAUGAUACAAGGCUUCAAAUGAAUUUUUUGCCCAACAUGAAAGUUGAAGAAAAAAAUCUNNNNNNNNNNNNNNNNNNNNNNNNNNNNNNNNNNNNNNNNNNNNNNNNNNNNNNNNNNNNNNNNNNNNNNNNNNNNNNNNNNNNNNNNNNNNNNNNNNNNNNNNNNNNNNNNNNNNNNNNNNNNNNNNNNNNNNNNNNNNNNNNNNNNNNNNNNNNNNNNNNNNNNNNNNNNNNNNNNNNNNNNNNNNNNNNNNNNNNNNNNNNNNNNNNNNNNNNNNNNNNNNNNNNNNNNNNNNNNNNNNNNNNNNNNNNNNNNNNNNNNNNNNNNNNNNNNNNNNNNNNNNNNNNNNNNNNNNNNNNNNNNNNNNNNNNNNNNNNNNNNNNNNNNNNNNNNNNNNNNNNNNNNNNNNNNNNNNNNNNNNNNNNNNNNNNNNNNNNNNNNNNNNNNNNNNNNNNNNNNNNNCAAGGGUUGGAUGUUCAGAAGCCAUCAGUUCAUGCACAGACAGUCAAAAACCCUAGAAAGUCAAAGUUAGUCAACUGUGGUUGAUUUUGUGGUUUUGAUGGAUGGAUUUGGUUUGAGAGGGCUUAUUCAUGUCCCAAUAGGCCUCAUAUAUCAUGGCAAUCAACAUCAUUGAAGAAUUUGAAGCCAAUCAGAAAAUUUCCAAAAAUAGAAACUGGACCUGUAAUUUUAACUGCCAAAAAUGGAAACUUCUUGAUCCUCAACUUGCAUCAUGAUACAAGCUUCAAAUGAAUUUUUGCCCAACAUGAAAGUUGAAGAUCUUGUUCUCCCAUUUUCAAAAAGUCCAAGAACUCUCAAAUCCCAUGAAUGGUUUGCAAGAUAUGGUCAAAUCAUUUUCACAUUUUCAUGAACUUCAAAUGGCCAUAUCUCAUGAUUCCUUUGGCCAAAUUUGAUGGGGUUUUUUCCUACAAUCUCCAUUUAAUCCCCUCUUUCCAAAAAUUCAUUCAUCAUUCACCAAAACCUUGCCAAUCAAAAUGGCAUUUUUUGACUUGUUUCAUUAAAAUUCAAGUUUGACCAAAGGUUGACUUUUUGAUUUAAUUGUUUUCAGCACAUUUGGCCAUUUGGAAUUGAUUUAGAAUGUCAUUUGCAACAUGUUCCAAGCCCAAAUUCGUGCACUUGCUAUCACAUACCACCAUUUUGGCCAAAAGUGCAAAAUUAGCAAUUUGAUUAAAAUGAGCAAAGUUUGGUUAGCACUUGAUUAAGCUUUGUUAAACAGCAAAUAUAAAGUGUUUUUUCUGUCAUUCUAAACCCUAGUCACAGCCUCCUAACACACAGAAUUCCUUCUUCUCUCAUUUUUGCAUUUUCACACUUUGAGAAUUUCUGACCAAAAGCUUCAAAGUGCUCGAGCAACCCUUGAUUGUUUCAUCACUUGGCCAACCUUUGGAAGCUAUUUUGGACCUUAUUCCUCGACUGUAAGCAGAGGAAACUCACUGUUCUAUUGCAAGCUCUCUCAUGGCAGAUUAUGGUUCAAGCUAUCUCGUGCAUUCUUGAGCUGAAAUAACUUCAUUAUCCAUCAUUUCAAAGCAUAAAGCACAUCUGUUUCGAGCUUUGAAGGCCAAAUAACCAUUACAACUCAACUGUUCUUCAAUCUUGGUAACAUUUCGAAUCUCACCUUUUACCAAAUUAGCUAUGCUAGGAAGGUCUUUGUAAGCUGAAUGCCAUUGCAAACUUGUAACAUCAAAAAUGGUAUGAAGCGGACGAAAUCGAAUUCUAUGUGUGACGCAAACUAUUCACUCGACUUCCGCUUAGUAAUGAGUUAAUGAGAUCUGGUUUCCAUAUUUGGUGGUCGGUGGAUGAUGCAUUGAUGUAUGAUGUCAUCUGGCAUAAAAAUCNAUGCCAUUGAUGUAUUUGAUUUGCGGUUCUGGGCAUAAAAAAUUUUCGAGUUGAUUUGAAGAUGAUGAAGCAUACUGUAGCAUUAAAACCCUAGCAUUUUCCAGAAAAAACCCCUGUUUCACGUAUUGCAUGUGGUUGUUUACUGUGCAUUUCCAUGAUAGCCAAUUAAAACAUUUCAUUUGCCUGGCUGAAACUCUGCGUUUUGAUAAGUAAGGGCGGUAAUUGCAAAAUUGCCACCGGUCAACCAUGUUGACCUAGUAUAACCAUGUUCUUUGUUCAUUUUUGUCUCAAUUGUUAUUCAUCUUCCAAAAUUCAUUUCUCACUCAAUUUAACUCCAAAAAUCAUGGAAUUUUUUGCAUCAUGUUCAUGAGAAUGUCUUUUAUUUUAUCAUGAUUUUUGCUGAAUUUUUGGUUGGCUGUAUUUUUAAUGGUGCUAGUUUUCUUAACAUGUAUGCUCAUUUGACACAUGUUGCCAAUCCUUUUGUGAAAUGAUCAUGUUGCAUCCUUUUGAUCUGAAAAUUUUUGUGGUUAUUCUACACUCAUCCAUGCUUAUUUUGGUAUAAAUUUCAUGAUUUUAUCAUAUGUGGAUUGAGAGCUUUGAUUUUUUUGAAGUAAGGUGUUACAUUUGAUGUCACACCAUGAAUGUGCAAGUUCAUGAAUUUUGUUGACCUACUUCUUGGCCUCCAAUUGACCCCAAAUUUUGCAUGAUCCCUCUCAUAUAUGUCUAGUUGACUUGUGAAUUUUCUUGGAUUUAUUUGAGCCAUUUCCUAAUUACUUGAGAUUUUUCUUCCCUGCCUAGUCAUUUGUUGACUUUGUGUGACACACCUUGCCAUUUCAUUUGGGAAAUUCUCAUGCCUUAUUGUAUGAUCAUGCAAUUUUGCAUGUGCAUACUAGACAUCUUGAGAUUUGCAUUGGUGUUGAUCCCAUCCAUUUCUAAUCUGUUUUCAUUUUGUUAUGAUUUUUUGAAGAUGACACAUGUUUUGUUGACUUCUUUGUGCACACUUGAAAUUGUGUUGACUUCCUGAUUUUAAUUGACUAUCUUCCCAUGAUCCAAUUGAGCUGAAAUUUCAUAUGCAUGCUAUGUUAUGGAUUGUGAUUGAGCAUGAAUUAUUUGAUAAUUUUUGGAAUUGAUUAUGUUUGCUUUUGAGCUUGGUCUUGCUGUUGACCUUUUGCAUGUUUCCUUUUUGCCAUGUUUUGACUUCUUUGGUCUAUAAGAUGAUAAUGAUGCAUGAUAUGAGUUUGAAUCCAAUUGUGCUUGCUUCUUAAAUGCUUGAACUUGACNNNNNNNNNNNNNNNNNNNNNNNNNNNNNNNNNNNNNNNNNNNNNNNNNNNNNNNNNNNNNNNNNNNNNNNNNNNNNNNNNNNNNNNNNNNNNNNNNNNNNNNNNNNNNNNNNNNNNNNNNNNNNNNNNNNNNNNNNNNNNNNNNNNNNNNNNNNNNNNNNNNNNNNNNNNNNNNNNNNNNNNNNNNNNNNNNNNNNNNNNNNNNNNNNNNNNNNNNNNNNNNNNNNNNNUUGUGCGUGGAUCCCGUAGAGUACUACGGAUGCGUAGGGGUGCUAAUACCUUCCCUUCGCAUAACCGACUCCCGAACCCAUUCUCUUUGGUCGCGAGACCAUGUUCUUUCCUAGGUUUACUUCGAGCGUUUCCUUUCCCUCUUUUGGGAUAAAUAACGCACGGUGGCGGCUCUGUUGUUUCUUUCUUUUCCCGCCGGUUUUUCGCGUAAUGCGACACUUACGAUUUUUACCAGAAAGGAGAAAAAACGUGUUUGCUUCCCUUACGCAUAAGAACAAAGGUGUUACACGUAUGACUGUGACUAUUACUCGUACCAUGCGAGUUUCACUAGGAAGAGGAACAAAAACAAGCUUUUGUCCAUACGCGUACCGUACGUGUAAGGGCAUGCUUGAGAGGCCACUAUAUUGGCGUACACGUAAUGUAUGUCUUCAAGGAAUAAGGCAAUAUGCGUAUGACACUGGUCAUUACGUGUAUUAAAGCCCAAAUAUUCAGAAAGCCCAAAUUUUGAGUAUUUAGCUCCUUAACACGAUUUUACAAGGUUUGGACAAUUUUACUGAGAAAAAACAUGUUCUAAGGCUGGAUAAUUCAGAUUUUCAAGGUGGAUUCAAAUUUUCAAGAGUUUUCUGCAAUUGAAGACCAAUUCAUCUAAGAUUUCUGUAAUGACAAGAAUCUUUACUAUGUUUUCUUUUCUUUUUAUGAGUAGCUAAACCCCUUAUUGGUAGGUGGUGUCCCUGAUUCAAACUUGUAAUGGUUUUGAAUUACUUUAUGCAAUAAAAAUAAUUUUUAGUAUAGUUGAUUUAUUAUCAUGAACGUUCUAAUUGCUUUCUCUAACGGACAAACGGAGUUUGAUGUAUGUGAAAUAAUUAGGAUGACCGCCAUUAUUCAUGACCUGCUUGAGAAUAUAUCAUAGUAGAUGAUGCAUAGGACUAGGGAUACCAUAUAAUAACUGGAUUAUUCUUGAUAUAAUAAUGUUUAAUUUCAUCCUUGAUUUUCUAUGUACAUAGUAAUUAGGUUGAAUGAUUAAAGAUUUUCUCACUAAGGACUUAGGAGUAAACAUCCUUAAGAAUUGGUAGUCAAUUAUAUAAAAGUUGUUGUCGCACCGUGAGUUUGGAAUCGUUACAUGAUUGAAUCAUACACCUUCCCUUGCAUACUACUUAUAUUUAUCUUAACUGUUCAAGUAUUUUAUUUACUUUAUUCGCUUUUGCUUUUCUAAUUUCAUCAAAACAAUACAAAAACACCCAAGCUUUUGUUUUAAUUGAAAUUAAUCCAGAACUCUGUAUCAUCAAGCAGUCCUUGAAAUCGAUACUAGGGAUUUCCCCUUUUUGUUACUUCAUUGGCAUAUUAGUACACUUUCUAAUUUUCUGAUCAAACUUUUGGCGCCAUUGCGGGGGACUGCCAAAGAUGAUAGAGUUCAUAAAUCUAUUUCAGUUAAAGUUGUGUUGCUCUGCAACUAAAAUUUUAAAUUUCAGUUUUUUGUGUGUGGCUAUUGUUGGGUUAUAAAUAAUCUUUGUAAGUGAGAAAAGCCCUCAGCUGAUUUUACUUUUGAUGCAAAACCAAAAAGAACUUUUCACGCCAGGCUACGACAAGCUAAGGAAACAAGGUUGACUGCCACUGAAGCAAAAAUUUAUGAACACUCAAAUAUAGAAUCCCACAGAGAAAGAGAAGAUCCAAUUAUGGCUGAACCACAAGAAAGACUUCGUGGGGAUUAUGGAGGCGAAAAUGCCCCAUUGGUACAUUUAACUAUAGUGAAUCAACUAGUGAAUGUUCCAAAUUUUCAAUUGCAUCCAACAACCAUCUGUCAGCUUGAGAAAAGGCCUUUCACAUGGAAAAUCAAUGAAGAUGCAAAUAAACAUAUACAAAGGUUUCUUAUUAUGAGCACUACUUUGAAGAUUGAGGGGCACACUGAAGAAGCAAAAUUUUUUUGAGAAUGUUCCCAUUCACUUUAGCUGAAGACGCUGAAGAAUGGUAUUAUUCAUUGUCAGCUGGAAGUAUUACUACAUGGGAACGGAUGGAAACAACUUUUCUAAAUGAGUACUUUCCUGCUUCUGUUUAUAAAGAUAAGAUAUUGUGAAUUUUAAGCAGAAAGAAGGGGAAUCAAUGGGUGAUGCAUAUAAGAGAUUUAAAAGGUUACCGGUUGCUUGUCCCACUCAUAACUUGGAUCAGACUGAAUAGAUGAAAAUGUUUGUUAACGACCUCAGAUUGAAGACUAAGCAACUUAGUGAUACAACUUUCGGUGGCUCUGCCAAUUUUUACAACAUCCAUUAUUAUCAAGAAGAUAAUAGAAGCCAUUGCUGCAAAUGAACAUCUAGAGUUAUAUGACCAAAGUGCGAGUAAAAUAGAAGGUGUGAUUGACUUGAAAAGUUGUAAAUCAGAUUGUGAAGAUGGAAGACCAAGAUGCUGCUGAAGUUGAGAGAAGACUUAAGGCUAUGAAUAUAGGUACUCAACAAGUAGCCGAAGUUCAACCUGUUCAAGCGGUUGAUUGUGAGAUUUGUGGAGGGGCCUAUUUUCCCAUGCAUUGUGUUUCAACUACAGAAAAAAUUGAGGAAAUAAAUUUUUUGAAGCAAAACAACCCAUAUUCUAACACAUAUAAUCCGGGCUGGAAGAACCAUCCAAAAUUCUCCUAGCAAGAUCAGCAAGGGAAUGUUCAAAAGUAGGGUCCUACUCAGUAUCAAAACCAACCCAACAAUCUUAGAAUCCACAACAUCAACAACAGUAUCGACCACAGCAACAACAACAGUAUCGGCCACAGUACCAACCACAACAACAACAAUAUCAACAACAUGCACCCAAAAAGGCCAAUUUGGAAAUUUCCAUUGAAAAGAUGGUAGCUCAAAGUUCCCAGUUCCAAGUAGAAACAAGAAAUAAUCAAAGAAACACUAUGACUUCUAUAAAAAAUCUGGAGGUUCAGAUGCCAUAACAAAUAGCAGGUUCUCAAGCACAAGGUUCCCUACCUAGUGCAAGUAUGACAAACCCGAGAGACCAUAAUAAUGUGAGUGUAGUGACAACAAGCAGUGGGAAAUCACUUGAAGUUCCUGAAGAAAAAUCAAAGGAAGAAGACUAAUUGAUUGAAGUGGUGCUAGAAAUCAAAGAAAAUCAUACCACUACAGAGGAAUAGGUCACACCAAAAUAGGUUGUAAAAGAAAAACCCACUUAACGAAAACCAAUCAUCAAACUACCAUUUCCUACAAGGAACAUGAAGAAUGACCAAAAUGAGAAAAAAAUUGAAAAGUUCCUAGAGAUGUUUAGAAAGCUAGAAAUCUACAUUCCAUUCUCUUAGGCACUUGAGUCGAUGCUCAUAUAUGCGAAGUUCAUGAAGGAUAUUAUCUCAAAGAAAUGCACGAUUGAAACUGAACCUAUACUGCUAACUAAAACUUGUAGUGCUAUUUUAUAGGGUAUGAAGAUCUCAGUCAAAAAUAAAGAUAGAGGUUCUGUCACCAUUCCAUGCACCAUUGGGGAUAGAUCAUUAAAAAGGAACUUAUUGAUUUGGGAGCUAGUGUGAGCCUUACGCCUUUAUCCAUAUACAGGAAACUGGGAAUAGAAAUGGUACAGGAUACCAGGAUGACACUCCAGUUUGCAUAUCAUUCAGUGAAAAGACUUUAUGGUGUAGUUAAAGAUGUUCUUAUUAAGAUAGAUAAAUUUGUGUUCCAUGUUGAUUUUGUGAUCCUUGAGAUGUUGGAGGAUGAAGAGAACCCUUUAAUUCUGGGAAGACAUUUCCUAGAAAUAGGGAGGUGUAUGAUAUACAUUUAGGAAGGAACCAUGACCCUCAAAGUUUAUGAUGAAGAGAUAAAGAUUGAUGUGAGAAGUAUCAUGAGACACAAAGAAGACGUAGGGAAAAGUAAUGCAGUGGAUGUGAUAGAUAAAAUGGUAAUCAAAGUUAUUCAAAGCCAAGUCCAUAAGUUACCUUUGGAAAGAGUUCUUAGUUUGUCCGCCCAGGAAAUAGAGGAUAAUGAUGAUGAAAGAGAGAGGGAAGUUCUAGCUAUGUUUGAGGUACAACCACCGUGGUUGAGAUCCAAACCACAACGGUGGGAGGAUUUCAAAGCUCCACAAGAAGCUGAGACUAAAAAGGAAGUUAAAAUAGGUACAUGUGUAGAACUGAAGCAAUUAUAUGAAAAUAUGAAAUAUGUCUUUCUGGAUUCUGAAAAUAAUUGUCUUGUAAUAAUAAGUUCUGGGUUACAAGCAAAAUAAGAGGAGAAAUUGCUGCAGGUGUGUAGAAAUACAAAAGUGUUAUGGGAUGGACCAUUGGAGACUUGAAAGGGAUUAGCCCCAUAAUAUGCAUGCAUAAAAUAAUGAUGGAGGAUAAUCACAAACCAGUGGUACAACCCCAAAGAAGGCUGAAUUCAGCAAUGAAGGAAGUUGUGAGAAAAGAAGUGGUGAAGUUGUUGAAUGCAGGGCUAAUCUACCAUAUUUCUUACAGUUCAUGGGUGAGUUUAGUACAUGUGGUACCAACGAAGGGAGGAACAACGAUGAAUCUAAAUGAGAAAAAUGAAUUGAUUCCCUCUCGCAUGGUUAUAGGAUGGAGAGUGUGUAUUGAUUACAGGAGGCUCAACACCACAACAAGGAAAGAUCACUUUUCUCUUCCUUUUAUUGACCAAAUGCUAGAGAGGCUUGUAGGUCAUGAAUGUUACUGCUUUUUAGAUGGAUAUUCAGGGUAUAACCAAAUUGUUGUAGCCCCAGAAGCUCAGGAUAAGACAAUGUUCACAUGUCCUUAUGGUAUUUUUGCCUAUAGGAGGAUGCCAUUUGGGAUGUGCAAUGCCCCUGCUGCUUUUUAGAGAUGUAUGACAUCUAUAUUCACCGAUAUGCUUGAAAAGAACAUGAAGGUGUUUAUGGAUGAUUUUUAUGUUUUUGGAUCUUCUUUUGAUCACUGUUUAACUAAGUUAUCUCAUGUUUUGGAAAGGUUCCAGGAAACUAACCUUAUUCUUAAUUGGGAAAAAUGCGAUUUCAUGGUACAUGAAGGUAUAAUGAUGGGUGAGAAAAUCUCCCACAAGGGGAUAUAAGUUGACAAAGUGAAAGUGGAAGUAAUUUCUAAUCUCCCACCACCAGUAAAUGAAAAGGGGAUAAUGAGUUUCUUAGGACAUGCAGGUUUCUAAAAUUGUUAAGGACAUGCAUGAAUGUAAUGAUGUGUAUUAUGCAUGACUGGUUUAUGCAAUGGUAUGAGGGUUUACGGAUGCCCCAAGUUUGGGUAUGGUGUAAUGAAUACUGAGAAAAAAUUGCUUUGGUUGUAAGGCUCCUGAUUUAUAGGGUAUGAGUUACGUCUUGCAUGACUACCCGACAUCCUCAUAGUUCUUGAUAUUGCUGGAGGAAGAAUCUGACAUGGACCUUCUGAUGCCCCAAAUUGGAUCUGAAAAGCUCUUACAAGAAAGGAGAGAGACUUUCUCUCUUCAGACAGUCUUUCCCUAGUCUGCUGGGUAUUUGCAUGAAUUGCCCCAGUUACUGGUUAUGAAGAAAUCUUGCCUCUGACUGGCCGAUAUUUGAGGGAAUGCCCUUAACUAACUAAUAUUUGGAGAGAUUUGUCGAAUCUCGAUGUAACUACCUCAAAUUGAGUGAAUCUUAUAGAUACUUCUCGACAUGACUGCCCUAGAUUGACUGAAUCUUGAAGCGGCUUGUCUUUCUUCUUAAUGGAGUUUUUAGCCAUUUUGCUCCUCGACAUGAUCAAACGAAGUGGCUUGCCCCUCCUCAACAGAGUCUUUGGGAAUUCUUCACUUCUGUUGCAGUCAGGAUCCUCAAUUUAUGUUCAUUGUGGAAGAUUCCUUGAUGUCAAAUGCUUACUCACGAGUAAGACAGGAUCCUUUAAGAAAUGAUAAUGUCAAUGUUAUGCUAGUUUUGAAAUCCAAUUUUUUUCACUGGAAUUAUGACACAUAGUGAAUGAAUCACUAAUGAUAAUGUCAUAUCGAUACCAACACAAAUUAUAAGAAAAUCAUUAGGGAGUCAGUUUUAACACGAUUUUACUGAUCGUAGUACUUUUUUGAAAUAAACCUUGCUUCAAUUAGAUCUUUUGAGGGUUGUAACGUGUCCUGGUUCACAGUUUUAGAAAGAAAGGAUUUAUGGCUCAAAACCUAUUCUAACCCACCCAUUCUCCUUGAUGUUCUCCAGUCCUAUGUCCAGCUAGUUCGAUACAACCGCUCAUCUUCCAAAAGGGAUUUGGGAGUGAAGGGAACCUACAAGGUUUUUAGAGUGGCAGUCACCCACCUUCUGUUUGGUUUGUGGGAACACGAUUUUUUUUUUGCUGAUGAUUUUCUUUUUUUAUUCCUCUUUUGCUUAUUUGUGUUUUUUUUAUUUCCCUACUUUUGCUGGAUGGACUCGGAUUUGCAAUCCACAGGGAUGCCCUAAUUUUUGCCUAAGUCACUUGUUCUCAAGUUUUCGACUUAGCGAACUUUCUUUCUUUCUUUUUUUGGUGGAACAAAUUGUGUGACAUUUGUUAAUUUGAUUUGAAGGGGUUGUGAUUGCCUCGAUCCUUUCCGGGUGAGGGACAACCAUUAUGGAUUUAUGGUUUCCGACCUCUCGUGAGGGAUAAGAUAUGGUUGAUCCUCAUAUAGCACACUCCUGUUUUGAAGUUUGAACGCCUGGUCAAACUAAUUGACGACUAUCCUACCCCAGGUUAAGAUUGAGGGUUUUAUGUUUAAAAAGAAACUCCUACUCCUUGGAUUGAAGGGGUUGACUGGGGAUUAUCUUCCUUAUAACUCCGGUGUUUGGGGAUUUGAAGCAAUGUCUUACAUCAUCAGCAAGGUUCUAUUCAAAAGCGUACGUGCAGUGAUUUCAUGUGUUUUCAAUUUCAUCAUUUUCCUUUUGAUUUCGCUUAACAAAAGUUUGAUAUUGACAAAAUAAAGUAUGGGUGAACACGAAUGGAUUUAUUCAAAUCAUGCAUAUCUAUUUCAAUGUCAUUAUUAUUAAAAAACAAACGAGUUUAUUACAAGUGAAUGUUAUAAAUGACAAACAAGAAAAUUACACAUGAAAAUGAUUGAACAAACUAAUGAUUGCUGGAGUGAUCAACCUUAUUCUCUUACAUGUGGGGUCUUGAAGAAGCUGAUGGGACAGUCUGACAUAUAAAACUCCUUUAGAUCUACCAUUUAUAUAACUAUGGCACUGCAUAUGUGCUUACCUGCAUUACAUUUGGAACAACUAGCGUGAAUGAGAUAGCUUUCGAGUCGAUUAGGUCUUGGACCUUAUGCUUCAUAGCUCUGCAGUUCUCGACAGUAUGCUCAAGUGGUCCAAAAUUGAAUUCACACUUAGCAUUGGAAUCACAGCCUUGAGCGAGAGAUGUUUGGGGAGGUACUAACUCUCUAUAUUGCACCAAAGAGUCUCAAAGCAAGCUAACAAGCAGUUGACUGUACGACAUAGGGAUCAAAUUUGUCCUUAUCUUUAGUUUCCUCAGUUUCUGCUGCCCCUACUGAUAAUGAUUAUGUCAUUAUGGAGCGUAUGGUUGUUGAUACUGCAUUAGUGGAGGACCAUUAGGAAUAACAUAUAUGUUGGCGGCUGAUACAGUUUAGGUGCUACUACUGCCACCUGAUGGUAUGGCAUUUGGUAGGUUCCAACUCCCCCCUUAGUGAUUAUGGCAACAUUGGUCUCACAAUCCUUCUUCUUUGGGAAUCCGGAAUAAGAUUUCUUUGCUCCAUUGGCCGUAGCUAUUGUAUCUUGUUUCUUGACGACCUUCAAGAAGUUCUCGAUUCACUCACCAGUAAUGACCAGGUUUGAGAAUCCUGAGGAGACGCUUCCAACCAUCCUAUCGAGAUAAGGCCCCUGAAGGGUGUCCAUGAACAUGUGUACCCGUUCUCUUUCAAGAAGGGGGGUUGAACCCUGGCAGCUAAAUCUCUCCAGCAUUGGGCAUACUCUUUAAAUGAUUCAUUUGUCUUCUGAACAAGGCUUUAGAGUUGAGUUCGAUUGGAAGCCAUGUCUAAAUUAUACAGAUAAUGCUUUAGUAAGGCUUCAACAAGUUCCCUUAAGGUUCGUAUAUGUGUGCGCUCGAGUUGCAUAUACCAUUCCAGAGAAGCCCCACUAAGGUUGUCUUGAAAAAAGUGCAUUAAGAGUUUUUCAUCAUCAGAAUGAGCAACCAUCUUUCUGCAAAAGGCUCGAAUAUGGGUCUUCGGGAAGGUGACCCCUUGAUACUUUUCAAAGUUUGGAACUAGGCACAUGUCAGCAACAUCCAUCCCAAAGGUAACAGGUCUUUCUAUUGCUUUGAACCUCUCCUUCAUUAUACGAAACUUCCUUUCGAUGUCAGCAAGAGAAGGACCAAAAGCGUCAUAAACAAAAUAAGCCUUUGUAUUGAAGAAAGCAUCUUGAUUAUCUUCGUUCUCAGGUUAAGCUCUCCCAUUGAUAUGGAUAUUGAAUGUAUGACCAACAUUUUGAUAUAAUGGACCUCUUUCAAGAGGUGGUUGAGCCACAACAUGUGUACUAGGUCCUCCUAGUGGAUUUAUUGGCAUUGUCACAACAACAGAGUUAGAAGCGGCAACUCUCAGAUUAGCCUAACGCAUUUCCUCUUAACCUCUAGCCAAAGCUUGUAUGGAUUCAAUAAGAUGACCCAUAUGGGCCUUCAAAAUGGUCAUAUUUUCCCUUAUAACAGCUUGGUUCUGCUCUAAUUGAUCCAUGAGAAGUUUCUGAUUACUGCAAGUAUUAUAUGGAUGCCAGGAAGCCAGCUUGAUUGUAGCAGAUUCUGGAUAAAGGCCAAACAACAAUGAGCUUUCUGAAUAGAUAUGAUGAAAUGCAAUGAUGUAUGAAUGUAUGCAAUAAUUAUUUUUUUUGUGUUCCCAGAGGAAUGCGUAUGCUAAGUCAAUUUUAUGAUGCGAUGAGCUGGCAUGCGUCAUCAUAGAUUCAACAACUUAGUAUAAUAUAGAGAUUCUGGAUAAUCUGGCCAUAUAACACAGUAUAAAAUCAAAGGUCCGACAUGACCUAGAAAAUCCGGGUAACCUGUCCAUGUAGCUCAGUAUAAGAUCAACAGUUUGAUAUAAUUUGGAUAAUGUAACAUGUCCAUGUAACUUAAUAUAGGAUCAAAGGUCUAACGUAUAUAAGAGAUCAAUGGUAUGAAGGGUCUUGGUUUCCUGCACACACAAAAAAACAAUAGCCCCUCUCACAGGUGUGUAUUACUCCUCAAAGAUGGUCCCUAAAAGGUAUCCCAGAGUCAUUGACUCAAAUGAAAACACCAUGCCAUAGCGAAUUCUCACAGGAUAAAAGUACUUCCAAGUGAAUCUAGUCUGAGUGUGGUUCUCAUGACAACCUAACGGGAAAAAUGAAGGCCUACACGACUACCCACGAGUCUAUCCUAUGUAUAUACUUAAGCUUCAGUGUAGAGUUUCUCUCAUAUAGUAUCAUCACAUCCCAACAUAUAAUAUGACAAAUAAUAUCCAGAAUACAACAUCAUACGAAUAUUUAAAGCAUUAAGGUAAAUGCAACAAAUAACAUAAAGAAAACGAGUAAAGCAAUAAAGAUAAACACCUAAAAUACGCAAAGAAAACAAACAAAAUUGGGCUCAACUUGCUUAGGAAAGGGUCCCCGGCAGAGUCAACAGCUGAAGCUACGCGAGUUAUACCCGAGCAUAUCGCAUAUUCAGAGAAACAACAGAGUCGCCAUCGAACUUUAUUUAUUCCCGAAGGAAUGGGAAAACAUCGAUAGAAUCCGGGGGAAAGAGAAAAGGGUAAGGAAGUCAGUUAUGAAAUGGGAAGGUAUUAUCAUCCCUCAUAUCCAUGAUACUCCAUGGGAACCGCUUUGAAUUUUCUUUGCAAGAACGAGUGUUACUAUCUGAAGAUUACUCGUGAAAGGGGAAAUUAGGGGUUAAUAAUUAAUGUGCUCGCCAAGGAUUAGGGCGCUUGUGCCUACAUAUUCUCACAGUGUAAUGAGAAAGUCAGAGCUCCUUAGUUUGUGGAACUAAGACAGAUGUGUUAUUUGUUUUUAAUGAACAAUAUUAACAUUCGCGUUCUACUGUCAACUUGCGUGUAUGCUCGAGCAUGGGAGUCUGAAGCGUCUAUUUGUUUGCGAUAGAAUGGAUGAACUUGGAUCACACUCUAGUAGUUAAACAUUGCUUGCUCACACAUGAAGGCUUAAGCUUCAUUCACGGUAGAAUGGAAGUAACAUGUCCUUUCUGAAAAGGUUUUAAACUAAAAAUGAAGCUCAAAGGCAAAAUUAAAUUUGAUAAGGUGAGUUUUCUUUUAUUCUGAAAAGAGAGUCAUGAUUCGAAUCGUACUAAAGUCUAUGAAUGGAGAUGAAUACAGUGAAGAAUUGGGUCAUGCGUCUCGUACCCAAAGAUAUUCAGAAUGAGGAUAGGAAUUCUCCACUCUCAUCCCUUCUCCAUUACUUAAGACUUGUAGCGUACAAUAUUAAUCAUAUUAUUAAUUGUUUUUUGAGUUUAUUCACAAAAUGGUUUUAGUUUUACUGAGAGAGAACAAAGGGAGAAGAAGAAACCCUAAAAAGUUGAGGUCUGGUCUUCAUUCUGCAUCCCAUAUUUGUGUAGAAAAACUUAUCAAUCAUCCGAUUUAAAUUGCACUAAAGUCUAUGAAUAUAGAUGAAUACAAUGAGGGUCAUUCACCCCGUACCCAAAGAUAUUCAUAAUGAGGAUAAGGAUUCUCCAUUCUCACCCCUUUUCUAUUACUUAACGCUCAUGACGUGUAAUUUGCAUCAUAAUUGAUGAGUUUUGAAGUUGAAUUUCCUUGCAGCUUCAUGUGAGGAAAGGUUGUCCUUUAAGAAAGGAGACUUGACAAUCAACUUAUCAAAUUAUGCUAAAGUCUAUGAAUAUGGGUGAAUACGAUGAGCAACUGAGUCAUUUGUCUCGUACCCAAAAGAUAUUCAGAAUGAGGAUAUGAAUUCUCCACUCUCAUCUCUUCCCUAUUGCUUAAGGCUCAUGGCACAUAACUUGGCUCAUGAUUGAUAAGUGUUGAAUAAACCUUUGUAGUGCUUGGAUAGUAGUCUAAUAUGUCUUGUACUGAUUUGAAUUGAAUGAAGUCUUGAAUUUUGAUCUUUGAAUCUUGAAAUCUUAUACAAAUCUUGAGAUCCAGUAUCCAAUACAUAUUUAAUAUAAGAGACUUUCCCUAUCAAGUGAUCAAGGGUCUUUUUAUCACUUGAAUAUGCUUGGGGAAUUGAGCACAGUCAAAGGAUUUAAUUGAUCAAAGCAAACUUUGAUCAACUGAAUCAAUCGGGGAAAAAUCAGUUGAAAAUGAAUUGAAUCAUGUAUACAGUAAUCUAAAGGAUUAAUUACCCAAUCAGAAGAUUUUCACAAGUCCUAAACUAAGGGAACAUGCAAAUCAAGAUAUUAUACACCCUAUGGGUAAAAUGGUCAUUAUCCUUAAAAUGAAUUAACAAACCUAAUGGUCAAUUACAAUCCCAGCAUAGCAAAAUUAACCUAAUGGUCAAUUACAAUCCCAGCAUAGCAAAAUUAACCUAAAAACGAAUCAUGGAAAAAAAUCUAUACUUAAGCAUGUAAAUCCAAAUCAUGAAUAAAGUAAACAAAGUGGAUUAAUCAAACUAAAGAAAUGGGAAGUUACAAUCUAAAUAACAACUUUAUUUAAUGAACAUGAUCUUGAGAAUUAUAAUGUGAUAUACGGAUCAAAAUGGAAAAUUAACCUAAUGGAAAAAUCAUGGUAGAAUCUACAAUUAACCAUAUUAAUCCAAAUCAUGAAUAAAAUCGACAAAUGGAUUGUCAAAACCUAAUGGCAAGUGAUACUAAAUCAUGGCACGAUUAAUCAACAAUUGAAUUAUCUUCCAAAAAAUCCAAAAAAAAAGGAUGUAAUUAACAUGAUUAAACCUAAAUCAAACUCUAAUUAAACUAAUCAAUUUUAAGGAUGAAAAAUUAACCUAAUUAUGAACAAAAACUUUAUUAAUCCCUAAUCAAGAAAUCCUAAUUUUAACCAAGAUUAAAGAGUGAACAGUAGCAUGAUUAAGCACUAAAAAUAAAUAAAAAUUAAGAUUAGAAUUGGAUAAGGGAGAGAUCAUCAAGAAUAAUCAAUGGGACAUGGGGUGAAUCAAAUGGAGGGAUGUUCAUUGCAACCCAUGUCCUCAUACAACAAUACCCAGGUAAAACGUUCAGUAUCCACAAAUUCUCCUCAAGUUUCACUUCACUUCCUCAUUGCAAAAUCAUAGGUCGAACGCGCUCAACAGAAGAAUUUCAACAAGAACGUGAUUCAACAUGUUAUUAUCGAAUUUCAUACGUAAAAAAACAUAUAGCCAUCUGUCGCAACCUGAAAAAUAAAGUGCGAAAAAAAACAACCGGCGAAAGAAAAAGACAGAAGAGUCGCCACCGUGCGUUAUUCAUCCCAAAGGAGGGAAAGGAAACGCUCGAAGUAAACCUGAAAAAGGAAGGACAAGACGGGGUCUCGCAACCAAAUCUUGGGUUUGGAGUCGGUUAUACGAAGGGAAGGUAUUAGCACCCCUACGCAUCCGUAGUACUCUACGGGAUCCACUUUUUAGUUCUUGUCUAAAGGGUGUGGGUUUAUCUAAUGUACUAUUUACUAAAAAGGUUAAGAGAAAUGACUCGCGCGGAUGUCGCAUCAGCUGCAUACGUAUCUCAUCUGAAUAUGAGAAUCAGAGUCUUCGUAGCUCGGCUACCUAUGGGUUGGGGGGAUGUGUGCUCGCUAAGAACAUCGCGUCUUAUGCCUACGUAUCUCAUCUGGCCUGAGAAUCAGAGCAAAACGUAGUUCGGCUAACUGUGGGGUAUGGAUUGGGUUUUGGACAAACGACGUCACUACGCAAUCUACCGGAUGCUCGACCUUUGGAGACUUACUCGCCUGUAGUAGAAGGAGUUAACGUGUUGCUUUGGGUUUAGGGUUUGGGAUGCUCAAGGGCAAAAAGGCAGUCCUUGAUGAAGGAACCGCGCUACCUGCAGGGAUACGAACACAUACAAAACAAACAUGUAUAAAGUAAAUGUGCCAACAAGGGGCUCAGAAGUAAAUAAACAAAAGAAAAACAAAUGCCUCCUAUCGAGGUCUUCCAGCUAAGAAAGCGAUAAAUGUGGAAAAGAGGUAAAAGUACCACACGGAUGAAGAUCCGAAGUAACAACAAUUAAAGGAGUAAGAAACCCAGGGACUCCCAAGCUAAUGCCAUCAAAGAAAAGUGAGUCAGUACAGGUAAUCGGAAUGAACCUCCAGGGGGUAUCCCACAAAUAAAGUGGGAAAACCACGCAAACCAUCUCUGCAAGAGUCUGUGAGCCCUCACAAAAACUCAACAAAAGGGUUAGUGAAACACGAUAAGCAUUUUUUUCAUGAAUAACAGUAUGGUUUCAGAACUCAAACCCUGUGGCAUACAUUUCAGAAAUCAUGUGAUUAAACAUUCAAGGCAUAGGUUCACCCAUUCACAUACAUCACACAUUUAGAACAUUCAAAUUGAAGGCGUAAAAUAAUGGGAAUAGGGCAAACCUGAUUGGAGAGCUUGAUUGAAAUUGAGUUGCACCCGAGGCCCUUCAGGGUUUGGAGGCUGCUUGAGUUCUCUGUCAGGUUUCUCUUCAGGUUUUGUCCAGGGUUUUGUUCCAAGGAACCUCAGAGUAUUUUGCUUCUCUUCCUUUUUCUCAAAGUGAAGCCUUGGUAUUUAUAGACUGAAUUUCAUGGUUUUGUGGGCUCAAAUGAGAGAGACCCAAGUCCAAAUUUUUUUUUAUUAUAUUUUAUUUAUUUAUUAUUAUUAUUUUUAUUUAUUUAAUUAUUUACUUAAUUAAUUAAUUAAUUAAAAAAAUUUUAUUAUUAUAUUUUUGUAAAAAAUUAUUUUUUUUCGUUUUUUUUUUUUAGAUCUAAUUCUGAUUGACAUGAUGAAAUGCAAUAUGAAAUGCUAAAUGAAUGCAUGAAUGAGGAGGGCAAAUUUUGGGGUGUUACACCAUCGAGAAAAAUCAAGGACUCACAUCCUCAAUGCUUAAUCGAAGAACCGAGAAUGAAAAGUUGAGUUCGUAUUCUAACUCAAUCCUCAAGUUGCAAUCAACACUGAAAUCGAAAUCACUAGAGGCUUCUCCCUACGUGCUGAAUCGAGAGAUCAAAAGGAGAAGGGAAAUUUACCAGCUUGCUCCGACGUGGUGGCUCAGGUAACGACUUCCUGCGAUCUUCUUAUUCUCUUUGUUUCUACCUUUUUUCUUUUUUCUGUUUGAGAUGGUCGUCUCUGUUUGCGUAUUUAUCAUUGAUUCGGUUGUGUAUUUUGUAGAGAGUGGUUCAAAUUCUGGAAGAUUGGCUAGGUUCCAUCAUUAGUAGAAUCAGGUCAGAGCGAGUUUUUAUCUUUUGUUCUGGAAGUUUCAGGUUCAGUUUGAGUUUAAUUUAUAAUGCAGUUGCAAUUUGGUUUGAAGGUUUUUAAAGGAUGAAAAUUACCUUAUGAGUUCGUUGAGAGGUUGGUUUUUAUGCAGGUCCUCGAAGGAGUUCUUCUAGGGAGUUCUGUUAUGAGGAGGUUAUCACAAUUAGGAUGUGGAAGGUGAUUUUUGUUCUGUUAUGGUUAUGUGAGGGUCCAAAAAGUGAUUAGGGAGAUGGAGGUUAGUUUUGUUAUCACAGUUCGGUUAGGAAUUCUAGUUCAGUAAGUUGGAGAGAGAAGUUACAGUUUGUUAGAUUGGUUAAGAAGCGGUUAGAGGUCGUUAGUUGUGAAGGACUCAGUUAGUUAUUGUGAAGAUUGAAGUUAAUAAGUAAGUUGAAAUUGGUUUUUUCACUCUGUUAUGUAUGUGCUGGUGGAUCGAUUUACUGAGUUAGAAUGUUUUGCAGGGGGGUUAAAUUUGGUUUUGUUAUGUAUUAGGCAGGUUUGGACUAGUUUUGUUAUGAAAAAGAAGGUGAAAACAUGUUUUUCUUUGUAGGGUUGUACACUGAAUUUUCUGCUAUGUAUUAUGUAGGGCUUUCCUUCACAAUGACAUGCUAUGCAUUACUUCAAUGUGCUAUGUUGUGGAUCAAAGGCAAUGAAGUGUGGACUACAAUUAGGUGCAUAAAAGUUUGGAAAGUACUAUGGGCUCAAAUGUACAUGUUAUGGAAUUGGGAUUGGAAAGUGUAUUAAUGGUUGAAUAUGAAUUGUGUAUGGAAAAGUUUGAAAUUUAUUUUGAAUGUAUGGCUCAAUCUAUUUGUACAUGGAAUGUUUUUUGAUGUAAUUGGACAUUGAAUGUAUGGCUUAUGUUAUAAUUUGAAUUAAUGGUUGAAUGUAACAUUGUAUUUUUGGAAUGACAAUGGAUGUAAUGGUUAUUAUUGACAAUGAAUAAAAUGGUUAUUUGGACAUUUGAAUGUAUGAGUUACAUUGGUACAUGGAAUGGCAUUGUUUAGAGAAUUAAAUGGUGUAAUGAACCAAGGUUUAAGUCUUGGUUGUAAAUGGCUAAAAAAAUGCAAAACAGUUUAUGUAUUGUAAAAAAUGAACAUGGUUUAGAAUGGAUAUGUAGUGCAUUGAGAAAUAAAAUGGUUGGAAAAUGGCUUUGGUUAGAUGGUUGACCAAAAGGUCAACAGUUGACCAAUAGUAAACCUAGGUAAAGAUGUGUAUUUUUGUGUAAUACCUUAUGCACAAUCAUGAUGUAAUUGUAAUGAUAUAUAGUGAUACUUUAUGAUGACUUUAAUGGUAUUUACAUGUUUUUAAAUGGAUGGCUUUAGAUUGAAAUGAAAAUGAACUUGAAUCAUGACUUAAUGGAAUGAGUGAAAUGGACUUUGAAUGUGGACCACAAUGCCCUUAAACCAAAUGAAAUAUGCCAUUGAAUUAGACCUGAACUAAUGAACUCCAAUCAAGCAAUAUCAUGGACAUGUAAAACUUUGACUUAAUGCACCCUAAUCAAGGCAAUGGAACCAUAAACAAGUAUGACAUUUGAUGAAUUAUCAAUCAAACCAAUGAAUCCUCCAUAAAUGACUAAAGGACCCAGAUGACCCUCAAGCUUGAAUGCGCACAAAAUUGGUGAUAGUGCCACAACCAACAAUUAGGGUUUCAGACAAAGGUACAAGGCUCCACAAGCACUUCCCCAAACCAUGGGCCCCUAAUUAGGGUUUUAGGGACCGAAUCCAAUACCAGUGAAUCAGGGUUUCCCCUAUGCUCCAUGAUAAAGACAAACUAGGAUGAAGGGCCCACCUCCUAUUCAAUGUGUUGUGUGAUAAAAACCCUUAAAUCCAUGGCUUUGUGCUUCUCAAUGAAAAUGGAAUAUGUUAUGAUGCUAUGGGUAUGUAGAUCAAAUGAAUGACCACAAGGAUAUGCAUAUGAUUAGGGUUAGUGACCUAUAUGAAUGAUCAAUCACCAUUUUCACUAUGUUUUCAUCACUGAUUCGACAAGAAACCAUGAAUUCUGGAAUACUCUAUGCGCAUUAUGUCACAUUUUAAGUUAAUUUUCAUUUAUGUAAGUUAUUUAAGCAUUUUAUCGGUUUUUAGUUUUAUUUCAUGUAUUCGAGAUUUUAUGCUUUGGGUGCCUAUGUUUAUUUCCUCCAGGUCCAAGUAGAAGAUCCAACGGACUCAAUGCAAGAAAGUAGAGGGUUCAUACAUUCGAGGAAAGGAGAUUACUCAGUACAGGAGACCUGACACGGCCACCCGAGUCACCUGACACGAGCCGUGUCAGGAUGAAGGCAAAACAAGACAAGAGAUGGCUAAGACAGGGGCCUGACACGGCCACCCAUGUCAAUUGACACGGGCCGUGUCAGCCCCCCUGGGAUGAAGUUGAAGAGGAGGAUCAAGGCAAGAGCCUGACACGGCCACCCGUGUCAGCCCAGGCGCAAAAUAUUCCAAUUUUUUGGCUUUUUAUUUGGGCUUUAGUAGCAAGGACAUUCUGGGGUUUUCCAACCAAUGCCAAGGGAUUUUCACUAUUUUAGGAGAGUUUCUACGAGAGAAGGAGGACACUUUGGAGCGAGGAGAAAAUAUAACAUAUAGAAUUGUCAGACGAUCAAGAAUUACAGAGAUCAAGGAAUUCGGAGAGCGGAAGAUUUUCAUGAGCGGAAGCAAUUAAAGAUCCAAGUCAUCCAAUUACUUGUAAUGUCUAAUUUUUAUCUUGAAUUUGUUUUGAACAAUAUGAGUAGCUAAACCCCCCAAUGCUAUGGGGUGUCCCUAAUUUAGAUUUGUAAUGACUUUGAGUUUACGAUUGCAUUGAUAAUUGUUUUUCAUAAUUACGAAAAUCUUUUAAUGUGUUUAAAAUGCUUUCUUUUUCGGACCAAUUGAGAUUGUUGUAUGGUUAUCAAUUAGGUUGGACCGUCAUUGAUAAGGUUUUCAUAAGAUUACUUUGUAGUAGAUAUCACCUAGGACUAGGGAUACCCUGUAUUGUAUGAACCAGAGGAUUCUUGAUAUAAUAAGGCUUAAUUUCACUGGUAAUUUUCUAUGGACAUAGAGAUUAGGGUAGAAUGAUUAAAGGUUUUCUCACCAAGGACUUGGGAGAAAAUACCCUUGAGAACUGGUAGUAGUUAAUUGAUAUUUGUUGAUGCAAUAGUGACUCAGAGUUGUUACAAGGACAAAUUAUACAUUUUCCCUAGCAUGUUCCUUUUUUCCUUGAAACCCUUAUUUUUACAGUGUUUAUUUUAUUCGCCUUUAUUUUUAUAAAUCUGAAUCUAAAACCCCCCAAACACUAAUUUUUGUUUAAUUGAACGAUUAUUUGAACUUGAUAUUAACGUGUAGUCCUUGAGAUCAACAUCAGGGGAAUUUCCCCUUUAUUACUACAAAAGGCAAAAUAGUGCACUUGCUAUUUUCCCGAUUAAUGAACAUUAUGAAGGGUAGAGUGAAUUUUGGGGCAUGACAAUAUGCAUAAGACAUAGGAAUUGGAUCAUAGCAAGGAUGCCUCCUUUAUUGAUUGUGGUUUCCUUUGCUGAUUUGUUUCUGCUUCAUUUUUUGAUUUCCUUGGGCGGGUUUUUAAUGCAGUAGGAGAUAUUGUGCUUAGGGAGGAAGUUGUAGAAUUCCUACAGUUGCAUUUUGUAAGUUAUCCACCUUAAGUUUGUUCUCGGCUUGCUUACCAACUACAACUUAAUCUGAGAGAUCCAUUGUCAAGCUAUCUGGGAAGAGUCCCAAGGUCAUGCCAACUCUGCCUUCGACAUAAUCCAAACUCUUCUUUCACCUGGUAUCCUCAUGAUUACCCUGUUCCAUGAUUCUCUGAAAAUUUGCGUCGGUGAAUCGUUGUCUUUCUGUUUGAGGAAUGGGAAAUAGUGUAAGCAUGUUAUUUUAUGGUAUGAAAGGUUAUGAAUGCAUGGAUGAAUGAGAUGCAUGAAGGAAUUUUUUUUCACAUUUCCAGGGGAUCCCAAGAUUUUUGAAUGUUUAACACAAACUAAAGCUUUUGGAUUCCAUAAGAGUGUACAUGCUAAAAUUGGUUUUGAUAUGAUGUCAUGAGAUACAACAUGAUAAAUUCAAAGGUCUAACACAUCUGAAUAAUUUGUCCACACUCCUCAACAUGAGUUCAAAGGCAUGACGUAUCGACGUAUGUAGAGGCAUGUUUUCCUACACAAAACACAUAUUCCAUCACAAGGUAGGUUCUAAGACUUUAUGAAGGUUCUUAGAGUCGCGGAUCCUGAGGCAAAAAUAUCGUUAUCAUCACAAAAUGACUUGUGAGCCAACAAUACUCUCAGGACGAUCUACUCUAAGUGAGGACAAACCUCAACUUCAAAAACCAUAAGUUAACUAAAGGUCCCUAGAAUCAGCGACUCCCUUUGGAAGAAUGGUAGUCAAUGCAAAAUGACUUACGUGGCAAUGAAACUUCAAAAGGAAUAUACUCUAGGUGGGGUCUUCGUACCUUCCCAUCAAGACAACUACGUCUGAAAAGUCAGUAUGGAGCUCCCAAUCUAUCUCAGGUAUACUCUUAAAGUCUGGGUAUUGGGCUUCUCACUCAAUAGCAUCAUAAACCCAUCCCAUAAGAGAAAUAAAACAAAUAUGUCUAAGAUAUAAUAUAUGAAAGCAAUAAAGCAUGCGAUAAAUGAAAUAAUGGUAAAGCAAGUAAAAGUAGUUAAGAUAAACACCCAAACAAACAAGGAGACAAAAAAACUAGGCUCGACUCCUACUUGCAAGAGCAAGGAAUUCCCAUCAAAGUCGCCAGAUGAUGGGGAAUCCCACCGGCAAGAUUCCCCAGCAGAGCCACCAACUAAAGCUACGAGAAAAAUACUUAAGUGCGUCUCACGCUCGAAGAUACAACAUAGGUCGCCAUAGAAAUUUAUUUAUUCAAGAAGGAAAGAGAAAACAUCGAUAAAACCCGGAGGAAGAGAAAAAGGAUAAGGAAGUCGGCUAUGCAAGGGGAAGGUAUUAGCACCCCUUACAUCCGUUAUACUUAACGGGGACCGUUUUGAUUGUUCUUUGCUCGAAUGGGUGUUAUUAUCUAAAGAUUACUUGCAACAAGGGAAAAGGUAAAAAAGGAAUGGAAUAAUUAGAGUGCUCGGUGAGGAUUAGGACCCUCAUGCCUACGUAUCCUUAUAGUGCAAUAAGGAAUUCAGAGUUUCGUAGUUCAUAUAACUAAUGGUGAGGGAUGAAAGAGAGAGUGAUGUAAUGAUAAUAUGGUUUGAACCAAAGGACAAUGUUGUUUGCACCCGUAGGAUAGUUAUGUCUGAACCAAUGAGAAAAGGUGGCAUAUUGGACGAAAAUAAAGGGUUUUAUCCUAUAUAAGGACUUUCAAGGUAACAAAAGGAAAUGUUAGUGUAAACAACGAGAGGACUUACAAGACAAACAAAAAGGGCUCUUGGUUCAGAGGCAGGCGUUGGUUAUUGCCCAAAAGUAUAUAUGGAAUCCAAAGAAAGAUUGUAUUUGGUUCAAAGAGAAAGUAUAUAACUAAUGAAUGAUUGGAGGUUGGGGGUAGUGAAUGAUAUAAAAGAUAUUUAAUGGUGAAUGACGGAGGGUGAAUGGAAGGAUAAAUAAGAAUUAAUAAAUAAAUAUGCUCGCCAAGGAUUCGAAUCCUCGUGCCUACGUAUUCUCACUAUGAAAUGAGAAAGUCGGAGCUCCGUAGUUCGGGGAUCUAAUGCGGAACAAAGAAAGAAAGAGAUGAUUAGGUUGUCAAAAGGUGAAGGAUUGCCUAAACACAAGAGGAUUUAUAAGGCAAAAGAGAUCGAAUAGAUUCGUCUAGGCACGAGAGGACUUAUAAGGCAAACAAUGAAUGAGAAAUGAUUUGCCUACACACGAGAGGAUUUACAAGGAAAAAGAGCUCGAAAGGGUUUGUCUAAGCAUGAGAGGAUUGACAAGAUGAACAAUGAAUGAGAGAUGAUUUUCCUACACAUGAGAGGAUUUACCAGGCAAAAAAAGCUCGAAGGGGUUCGUUUAAGCACAAGAGGAUUGGUAAGACGAACAAUGAAUGUGAGAUGAUUUGAUUACACACAAGAGGAUUUACAAGGCAAAAGAGCUCGAAAAGGUUCGUCUAAGCACGAGAGGAUUGAAAAGACAAACAAUGAAUGAGAGAUGAUUUGCCUACAUAUGAGAGGAUUUACACGGCAAAAAAAGCUCGAAAGGGUUCGUCUAAGCACAAGGUCUUAUGACACGAAAAAUGAAUGAGAGAUGAUUUUCCUACACACGAGAAGAUUUACAAGGCAAAAGAGCUCGAAAGGGUUUGUCUAAGCACUAAAGGUCUUAUGAGACGAGCAAUAAAUGAGAGAUGAUUUUCCUACAGAUGAGAGGAUUUAUAAGGCAAAAAAGCUCGAAAGGGUUCGUCUAAGCACGAGAGGUCUUACAAGACAAACAAUGAAUAAGAGAUGAUUUUCCUACACACGAGAGGAUUUAUAAGGCAAAAAAUCUCGAAAGGGUUUGUCUAAGCACAAGAGGUCUUAUAAGACAAACAAUAAAUGAGAGAUGAUUUUCCUACACACGAGAGGAUUUAUAAGGAAAAAAAGCUCGAAAGAGUUUGUCUAAGUAAGAGAGGUCUUAUAAGACAAACAAUGAAUGAGAGAUAGUUUUCUUACAUACAAGAGGAAUUAUAAGGAAAACAUGAAUGUUAGGGUUCGUCUAAGCAUGAGAGGUUUGACAAGACGAACAAAGACUAAGAGAGUUUUCCUAAGCAUAAGGGGACUGAUAAGGCAAACAUGAAUAGGAUAUUAAUUGGGAUUCCAAGACGGGUAUUUGAUAAUGAGGUGAUUAACCCAAAGGAUGCAUGCGUAACAAAGACGAUUGUUAUGUUUGAUCAUUCAUGAUGAAGAUUGUUGAAAAUAUUGAAUGAUGAAGAGUUUGAAUGUUGAAAGAUUUGGAUGUUGCCUUAAGGAAGAAGAAUAUAUUUGAUUGUUUAUGAUUAUGAAAUUUGUUGGGUGAGUUUAAUUGUUGGUACUUAGAGGGAGACAAGCGUCUAACCACUGGCUAAGUACGACCAGCAAUUAGAAUACUUGGAAGUUGAGAGGAUAGUUUCAUCCUAACCACUCUUUUUCACUCUUAGAGCAUCAGAUUAGACUCAUUUUAUUUGUUAAGUGUUUUGUAAGAAUGUCAAGUAUCGGGCCACAAGCUAGGUACGACCGACAACCCAAGUACUUGAGAAUGUUAUGCACAAGUACGUACACCCCAUCUUUUUCAUCCAAUUUAUUAUGAAAAUGAUUUGAUGAAUAUAAAUGGAUAAAGAUAUGAAGUUGAAUAGGAUGAGAUGAAGAAUUGGAUGAGAUAGAAUGGAAAUGGAAAUGCAAAUGGAUGAGAUACUUGACAUUGGAUCAAGAACUCGUGUUGCUUUUGAUCUAACUUGACUUUGAAAAGCACUUGACGUUGAAUCAAGUGGGUCUUUAUUCUUUUGAAAAGUAUUCUUUUUAUCGUUUGAUUUUAUCUUGUUAAUUACAUGCAAAGUAAACAAUAAGGAAAUAAAAUUCUAAGUUAUUACAUGAUCAUGGGAAUGGGGGACAUAUUACCCACAAUGGGGGGAUGAAUCAUCAACCAUACAAAAAUGGGAAUAAAGGAUCCAUACAAACAUAUAAUGAUACCAUGCCCUAAAAUCAAUCAAGGGGAAAUGGUACCCUAAUAACUCCACAACUAUGAUUAUGUACCAUGCGUCAAAAUACAAUCAAAUGGAUACAAAUUGGUAUGCUAAUCUAAAUAAUUAAAAUUAGGGAUCGAGUCCUAAAUCUAAACAUGAAUCAAAAGUGGCUAAACAAUUAUGUAUCACAUUGAAUUACUAACCACAUUUAGCUAAAAAGUCAACAUACAAUGAGGGGUUGAAAAUACGAUGAAUCAUUACCUUUAAAAAUGACCUAAGGAUCUAAACUAAUUAGAAUCAAAUCAUGUUCUAAAGCAUUAAUCCAUUGAUUUAACAAAAUAGUUCAAAGUGAUUAACAAAACCUAAUUAAAAUUCUAACCAUUUAAUCAUGUAUUUUUGUAAAUAAUGUGAUCAAUCAUCAUGCAUUAAAAUGUGGCAAAAUGAUAGAAAAAUCAAUAAUAAAAUAAAAUAAAAUAAGAAGAGAAAAAAUAAGAAAAAGAAGCAUGGGGUGCAAACUGAAAUAUGGUGCAAAUAGGAAAUGGAAGUAGGGCCCAUGUGCAGAAAGCCCAUAUUUUCCUAACUUCUGAUCAGGGGUGCAUGAUGAAUUCAUGGUGCCAAAAGGAAAAUGUAUGGGCCUAACAGGUUAAGUCCAAGUACACUUGUGGGAGAGGGAGUUGAAAAUUUCAGAUGAAGUUCAAACUUGAGCAAAAAUGUGCGCUCCAUGACAACACAUAAUUCAAACAUAUGGCCUGAGCCACCCUCACAUCCGUCGCACUGGAGGUCGCCGACGACGGAGGAUGAGAGUUAUCUACUGAGAAAAAUACACCAUCUAAAUCGUCUCCUCCUUCUUCAUUCAUAUCUAUCAUUAAUUUUACAUUACUUCUAACCUAAAGCCUUAACCGGAAUGGGAUUAAUUAAGAACCCUAGGUGUUCAAACAUAAAUUAAAUCAUAAUCAUGCAUGGAAUUGAUCCACAACCAUGGGGCUUACAAUCUACUACCUUCAACCUACCAUCUGGUAACAAGAAUUUGGAGAAAUUGAGUGAAAAAGGAGAGCUUACCUGAGCGAUAUUGGAGUUCAACAUGCACCAUAACAGGUAAGGUAAUUCUUAUUCUCGUAUCAAUUCCUCUUUCUUCUUCUUCUUCUUGGUUCUGUGGAUGUGAAUGAUUGGUGAGAGUGAGUUUUUUUUACUCGAGUGAUUUGAGAUGAGUGAGUAUGAUGAACUGCACUGAGUGUUGAUGAACAAUCCUUUGGAACAGAGUGAUGAUGAUGUCAAUCAGGGUUGAUGAAGAAAUUGGUGAAAAUUUAUGAAUCCAAUGUUAAGUGAAGAUGAUGAAAAAAAUUGUGAUUGAUGAUUAUGAUCUGAAUAUGUGUCAAUGUUGAUGAUUGAUUUCUGUUGAGUGAAUAGGUGAAUAUGGUGAAUUGAUCUUAUGUGAAAAUUUGAUUCCCCUUGAAUGAGGAUUGACGUUAGCUUUUAAAGCCCUUAAAUCCUCUCAACCAAAUCAAUUAGAGGUGGUUAGUUAGUUGGCCUUGAAAAUGAGUGUGGAAGUUUGUUAGGAAAAACUGUUAAGGUUGUUGGAGAAUUGUUAUGACAGACUGAACUCAACCCUGUUAGUUAGUUAGGUGGUUUUUUUCUGUUAGAAAUUUUUGGUAGGUAGUUAGUUAGGUUAGGCAUGAGGUUAGUUAAGUUAGUUAGGGAUUAAGUGGUGAUGUAGCAAGAGGUUAGGAAUUUAGGAGGUGGAGUUGUGACAGCUAGAUUGAGUGAACUGAGGUUGCAGAAAUUAUGUUAUGAUGUGAGUGUCUUUGUGAUGUUCCAUUGCUGCUUGUUGUUGGUUAUGGUAGGUUUGAAUGGUUGUUGAGUUAGAUAUGUUGCAUUAUUUCCUGCUAUGAAUGAUGGUUGAUGCAACGUAGUAGGUCUGCAAUGCUACUUAGAUGUUAUGGCCUGCCAUGAUGUAUGAAUUACUGUUAAGUGAUGCUUGCAUUGUGGCUGCCUUGUUAUGCUUGCUUGCUGUUGUUGUUUCUUAUGUAUUGGUUAGUUGUGAUGUUUACAUGGAUGUUAUAAACAUAUGGAAAUGUGAAUUCAUAGCUUACUUAUACAUAAAUGCUUGUUAUUUCUGCUAUGAUGCAUUAUUGCUUGGAAUGUGGUAUGAGCUGCUAGCAUUUAUGCAUUAGUGUUGGAUCUGUCUUGAUAAUGUGCUAUGACUAAUUAGCCUACCAUGUUAUGUUGUAUUGGUACUAUUUAAUGCAUUAUUGGCUUUGGUUUGUACAAGAGAGAUAUGAACUGAUACAUGUUAUGUCUUAGCUUGUUAUAAAUCAAGGGUUGCAACUGUUAUCACUACGCCAAAAACUGGAAUAGACAGCGCACCUUAGAGGGCGCUUUCUUAAAGAAGCGCACUCUAAAGUGAAGAGAAAAAUAAGGAGGAAUAGACAACGCACUUUAGAGGGCGCUUUUGUAACAAAGCGCCCUUCUAAAGUGAAGCGAAAAAUAAUGAGGGAAUGGAGGGACACCAAUAGAGGGCGCAUUUAUGAAGCGCCCUCUAAGGGUACCCUUAGAGGGCGCUUUUAAAAAAGCGCUCUCAUAAGUCCAUGUACAUUUCCAGUUUAUAAAGCGCUUUUGGAAAGCCUUAGGAGCGCUUUAGAAGCGCCUCUUAGGCCCCUUUAGAGGGCGCUUUUUUUACACAAGCGCCUCUAAGUCCCUUAUUAACAUUAAAAUUAUAACAUAUAUACUGCAUGUCUCUUUAUUUUCCUCUCUAUAUGCUAUUUUCGUUUACGUAAUGGGUUUUCUCUCUACUGCGAUUACUUCUACUGUGAUUACUCUCGUCCUCCGUUCGUUCUCCCUCCCUACCGUCGUCGUCGCCGAGCCUUUUUCUGCUGCUGCAUUCACGUUCACUGUUAUCUGCGUCCACCGUCGCUGUUCACUUUUCUUCUCCAUCGUUACCGUCACCUUGAGGUAUCUUCUCUCUCCAUCGUACCGUUCACUUUCUUCAGGUGUUUGAUUGGCUUUUUCUAAACUGGUUUUCAUUUUGUGCAUUAUGGUUGAUAAUGUUGUUUAGGGCAAACGAGCAUUAUAUGGUGUCAUGGCACCCUUGUUAUAAGGUUUUUUAUUUCUGCAUUGAAAACUUGAUGUCAUUGGAGUGUGUUUGAGCUUGUGCUUGGAAGUUUGAUGAUUAUGGAUGCAGUUUGUUCAUGUUCAACACCAUAGUUUGCAUUGGUCUUUGUAUGCAGUAGUGUGUGUGAUGGUAUUCUAAUGAUGAAAAAAGAGAGAGUUUAGUAUUGUUGUAACAUUGAAGGAAAUGGAAGGUAUAUGAAUGUGUGUUUUUGUGUGUAGCUUCACGAAUAUGGUCAUUGUCUUACUUGGGGUCUUAUUGAAUCUUUCUAUUUAUACAGAUAAAAAUGGCUAACCAAGACGAUACCCAUUGACGCGAGUGGAUCACGUAACAAUGUUUGAAAAAAGAAAUCAAAUGAGGAUUGAUGUUAUGAAGUCAAUCAUUCGUGCAAGAGACAAGGGUGAAAAAUUCGAAAGUACAUUGGAGUGCUGAAGACCAACUAAUUGAGCCUAACGGUUCAAUGUUGACAAGUUACAUUGGUUCCCUUGUUCGACAAAUAUUCCGAUACAUGUCAUAAUUGGAGAAGUCCGGAAUUGAGGUUGGCAAAGAAAAAUAUGGUCCGAGAUACAGGUACUUACCAUAUAUUAUUAUAUGUUUUUUUUGUUGACUAUUUGUUGACCAUAUAUUGUUAUAAUAUUACUUAUAAUAACACACUCCUUUGUAUGUUUUUUAGAGAUCCUUUCACCAUCGAUGAAAGCGGCAAAAUAUUGUAUUCAAUUGGCCGGAAAAAGACUCCGAGGAUUUCGAUCCUUUUUGUCAACAAAUUUCUCAAGGAUGAGGAAGGAAACUUUGUUGAAGCAGAACGGCCAAUGAAGUAUGCGGAGAUUAUUUCAGCGAAGAAUGGGAUAACUUUGUCGCCAAACGAAGAAACGAAAAAUUCCAUGUAUGUCUAUUAAUUUUGGUAUUAUACAAUUGUUAGUUACUUGGUUCUAAUAUGCCUUAAACUUUUUUAUCCAGGAAGUAAGCGACAAAAUCGGAAAGGGCAUCAAAACCGCGUAUCCGUACAAAAAGGCGUACGGGAUAUGCACGGUUACAACAAAGAAUUGUGAGUAUAUUCAAAUGCUAUGACUUAUACAUUGUCACAAUAUGUUAUAAUUGAUGAUCUUAUAAAUAUUCAAUUUGUAGCUAGCCGAGGAGAAAGUGACACAACAUCUCUUCCGGAGCACGUAUGUGGAAGGCUGCUCGGCGUUGGGAAGGAUGGGGCUGUCGUUGAAACGUUUCAAAAUGUUUAUGACGAAUGUGUAAGUAUAUGUAACAUUAUUUUCUUAAUUAUAUCGAAAUUUUGUUAGACAUUAAUUCAUUUUUAAUCUCCUCUAAUAAUAUUUCAGGAGACUCUUAUCCCAAACCUUACCUUCAACCGAGGUCCAGGAUUGCAGAGCGUACUUAGUCGAGUACUAAAUGUUCCUGAGUAUUCGGUCGUGUGAGGGGUAAGGGUUUUUGUGUGACUCCGUCGUCAUUUUAUUAAAAAAAACCAAAACAAAAAUCCUUACAACAAAGAGGUGAUGGAGACCUUGGCGGUUUAAGGGCACAAAGUACUCGAACUGCAAAAGGAGAAUGCAGGUAUAGAGAGGAAAGGUGCGGUUCCGAGGCAAAGAUACUACGUGACCGAGCUAGUAUCAAUUGUCAACCGAAAAUUUCCCGAGGUAAUUAUAUAUGUUAUUAUGAAAUUAAAAUAGCACUUUUUUACUGACCACAUAUACACGUUAACAAUAACAUUUUAUUAUUGGUUUAGGGCAUACACCUUGUCAGCUGUAUCUAUCGUCACAACUUAUCGCAUAGUUGGCAAGGAAAAGUGCACAACAUUCGGGUGAAUUACUUCACCAUAAUCCCCUCCCGGUGGGAUAUAUAAAGUUUCGGUUGACCUUGUAUUAGAUACCGACCGGCUUCUACCAUUACCUGACGUUUUUCAGAGACAACGUUGAGCGAGAUGCAGUCGGAUCCUUUGUUGGAUGGCCGUCAGAUCUAAUUUUCCCAGAUGCCGAGGUAUAUAUGUUUCUAAAUGAUUAUGAAUAUUUAGUAUUCACAUUUCAAUUCAGCUACAAUUAUGAUAUUUAAUCAAUCCUUAUUACAUGGUAAUGUUAGACUCCUACAAGACCCACACAUAAAGCUGGUAAAGGGAAUUCAAGACGCAUCGAGUCGGUUGCAUCUACAAAAAGGUACAAAAUAUAUAUACCAUUGAAUUAUAUACGCAACGAUCUGUUGCAUCACAAAAAGUCAGGAUUUAAUUUAUAUGAAUUUUUAGGUUCCCGGUCGAAAGUUGAAAAAAGCUGGUAACGAUAUUCCAACGACGUCCGGGACAAAAUCUCAAAUUAUGAUGCGUCUUGAGAAAAUGGUGGAAGAGGCGAUAUUAUGCACGGCGCCAUCCGUUAGUGUAGAUUUUGAUGAAGGUGUUUUCGGAAUUGCUCAUUCGAAAUAAUUGCAAAGGAGGACAUGCAACAACUUUUUGAACACGAAAAUUGGGCAUCGCUGUCAUUCAUACAUACAUAUGGUACUCCGAUCAAUCUAUUACUUACUUAGUUGAACAAUUUAUUUACACAUUUUCAAUGAGUAGUCUAAUGUUUAUUAUGUUUCUAUUAGGUAUAUUAUGUAACAUUGAUGCGGGGAACUGAAUUGUGUACGAUUCAAUUUUAUUGCUGCUUCCCGUAUCAACACAAUGUUUUAUAACGAAAAAUCCAACAUCCGUAAGAAUGAACUAGUCGAUAGAUUCAUGGAGGCCGGCGAUAUACUACACCAGUUGUAUUUUUUACCGUUUAUUCUGGCAACGGUUAGAUUUUCUUUCUAAUAAUUUAUUUUAAUCUAUGUAUAUCUUUUACGUAGAAAAUUUUCAUGGACUAAAUUUUUGUUUUAUUUUACAGUGCGUCACUGGGUGUUGGUUGCUAUGGAUCUUUCGAGACUAAUGGUUGUAUUAUCUCGAUUCGUUAUCAGGUGAUGGAGUAAAUAUCCGAGUAUGAAGAAGACGGUUGACGCGUAAGUGAAAUUCCCCUAAAUAUUCGUGUGUAUUGUAUAUUUUAAUUAUGUCUGUCAGAUUGAUCUCAAUAUACGUUUUAUUUUGUUAAGGGCAAUACUAAAAUUUAGAUCGAAAAAUAAUUACCGUAAUAGGAAGACAUUACCUGGGUCAGAGUUCAGGUAUAUAUUAAGUAUCUUAUUUUGCUUAUAAUAGUGUUUGUUUUUUUUGCUUAUAAUAUGUUUGUAGAAAUUAACUAAUAUAUAUUAUUGUUUGUUUUUUUUCUUGUGUAGUGUCCUUCACAAAACAUUCGGUCGAUUGCGGAUUUUUUGUAUUGAGAUUUAUGAGAGAUAUCAUUGCGUUGAAUCGUAUGACAUCCCAAAAUGGUAUGGAAUAAUAACUUUAGGGUUUAUUUUAAUAUAUCGGAUAUUUCAUCUAAUUUGUUUACAAAUCAUGAUAUGUUUUAUUCUCUUAAUUGUAGUACUUUGAGGAAUACAAAUCUUACUCAAGAAGCUCAUUUUGGAUGUAAAUGAAGGAUGAAUUGUGUCAAUUCAUUUGUUGAUCAAGAAUCAUUAGCUAGGUUGUAUAUUGUUGUACAUAUAUGUAUGGAAUGUUUGUUGUUGUAGCUGUUGUUGUAUAUAUGUUGUAUAUUGUUGUUGUACUUUUACUAAAUCAUGAAUAUGUUGUUGUAUAUUGUUGAUCAAAAACAUAUAUUAAUGUGUAUAUAUGGGAGGAUUAAUGUUGUAUAUAAAUGGAUUCAUGUUGUAUAUAUCAAUGGAUUAAUGUGUAUAACAUUGGAUUAAAGGAUGAAAUCAAUAUGAAUUUUACACUUUUGCAGCAUGCGAACAGGUUACCAAUUAAAUAUCCACUGUUUUCAAAUAAAUUUUUUAAAUAACUAACACUUUAGAGGCGCUUUCUGUAGGAAGCGCCCUCUAAACACUUUACAUUGACAACUUUAGAGGGCGCUUUGUCCAGAAAGCGCCCUCUAAACACUUUACAUUGACAACUUUAGAGGGCGCUUUUCCAAAAGCGCCCUUAAGGUGUCCCUUAUGGACCACUCCAGAGGGCACUUUUUUCUGAAAGCACUAUAAUGUGGCCCUUAAAGGGACCUUUAGACAACGCUUUCUCCAGGAAAACAAAGCGCUGUCUUUACCUAUGCCAGCGCCACUUUAGAGGGCGCUUAAAAGCGCUGUUAUAGGCCAAAAUAAGCGCCCUCUUUUCCCUUAUUUGGCGUAGUGUAUACUUGAAUGAAUACCAAUCAUGUGCUUGUAUGUAGGCUUUACCAUGCAUUUGAUGAAUAUGGAUUAUCUUUAUCUUAUGGUAUGUUAUGCAAUGUUGCAAUUAAUUCAAUGAUUGUAUGCACGACUGAAACAAUCUUAGAGACAUGGUCAUGAUUGAAGCUUGGCAUGGAGGUUCAUGGUGAGAACUUGAAGAAAUCCAAGGCUUACUUGCUCAUAAAGAAAGGUUUUACCAUGGAAUCAAAUGGAAUGAAUGCAAGGAAUGACGACACAAUGGAUCAUUAGGAUUAGGAAUGUGUAAUUUUAGGUCAGUUGACUUUGGUCAACUGGUUGACAAAAAAGUCAACAGUUGAACAAAAGUUAAUUGUAGGUCAAAUUUGUUUUUUUUUUGUAUUUUUAUAUGGACCUUGUAAAAUGAUACUUGUAUGGUUAAAUGAGCAAAUUUGAAUGGAAAUACCCCUUCGAUUCAAUGAAACAUGCCUUUGAUUCAAAUUAUGACUUUUCCCCAAAAUCCAUAUUUAGAUCAUAGUUUGAAAUGAAUGAACCAUGAUCUUUAAAAAACUUGACCAAUAUGGACUAUGAAUGCAUGAUAACACAUGAACCAAUGGACUAUGAAUAUUUACCAUGAAUCAGGAACAAGUGGACUUAGAAUACACCAUGAAUCAAAGAUCAAUAGACUAGGAAACAAGAACCAAUUCACUAUGGAACAUGGACUAAUGCACAAUGAAUGCUCCACGAAGCAUGAAGUCAAUGGAAUAGGAAUGCAUAAUGGAACAAGACCCAAUGGACCAAAAAUGAAACAUGAAACAUGAAACAAUGAAUGCACCAAUAACUUGAAUCAAUGGACUAUGACAUUUGAAUGAAACAUGCCAUUUAUGAGGACCUUGAAUGUAUUAAGAAUCAUGAGCCAAUGGACUAUGAAGCAUGGAUCAAUAGACUGAAUGCACCAUAGACCUAGAAUUAAUGGACUUGAAUGGAAACUAGAAUGCAACAUGACUUGAAUGAAAGCUUGAACAAUGCCUUGGAUUAGAUGGAUCAUCAAGCAUGUAGGUAUGUAAAUCCAAUGGUCAACUUGAUGAAUUAUUCCCAAGAAUAAUAGUACACUUGAUGAUUGAUGAUGCAUACCAUAAUGAUCAAGAACCACACUCCAAUGAAUUAGGUUUUUAGUCAAUCAUAAGACCAUAUUAUCCACCAAUACCAAAUAUCCAUGAUUAGGGUUUCAUGAUGCAAACCAUCUAAUCAAAGAACUCAAACAAACAAGAAGCUCCACAAUCAAAUCUCCAACAAAUGGCCCCAAGAUUAGGGUUUCAAGAUCAAACCCAAGCUCAAAAGGCAAACCACAUAAUCCAUGAGUAGCAAAGACCAAGAACUAGGGUUUUAUGCAUAAGUAAAUACCAUGAUUGCAAUUUUCAUGAACAAAGGUCCCAAGAAAUAAGAAUUAGGGUUUUACCCCUUGAUUCCAUAUUGAUUGUACCACCACAAUCUCUAAGGCUUGAUCCUCAAGUAAACCCUAGCUUUUGUAAAGUAUAAUUAACCACAACCUUUGAAUCUAUGAUGUAUGUUUAAGAGUGCUAACAUGAAUAAAUGAUGCACUUGUAUUUGGUAUAAAUAAGUGCAGAUGAAUCUCAAACCAUAAGUCAGAUGAAAAGUGAAAAGGGGAGGGAAAAUUUUUGGGGUAUGACAACAAGAAGAAAAAAGAGACUGAUUUUUGCUUCGUCUUCAUCGUCCAAUUCAUGCUAAUUAUGUUACCGCAUUGUGGUUCAUUGUCCGUGGAUCCAAACCCCUAGGGUUUGGACUCCAAAUUGCUUCAGUUCAACGUUUGAUUUCUGAUUUUAGUAGUUUAUGGCUCAUAAGUGUUUUGCUUUGGUUUAAGGGAUGAGAGAAGAAUCAUGGAAACGAAUUGUGGAUUAUGGAAGAGGGGACUAGGAAGAUUGAUUUGAUGGUUGAUUAAAGGUUUUGGACCUCCGCCGCCGCCAGAGGUGAUUUCCGGCGCGACUGAGUUUUUAACUCUUGUCUCACAUUCUGAUAACGCGUUUUCAAACAAGAAACAUGAUUGAGAUAUCCAGACAUCUCCCCACUCUAUUGGCCUCCUUGAUAUAGGCUUAGGGCCCUUGGGCCCAUUGAAGUUCCUUCAUAAGCCCACUAUUUCUUGCGUAUACCCCCUCCUGGAUUGACACUGCCUUGUGUUGGGCUUUGCUUUGUCAAGCUCAAUCCAAAUGAUUCAUACAUCCUACUGAUGACAACACACCCCUUGCCUAUUCUUUAUUAUUAUUAUUAUUAAUUGGUUUUUUCAAUAUUCUUUUUAAUAAAAUCUUUUAUCACAUAUUACAUGGAAAAUACUUCGAAUAAUAAUGUUAACACUUAGAUUUUUAGAUUUUAUAUUUUCUUACGAUUUAAAAUACGUUUAGAAUUUUAGAAAUAAUAAUUAGAAUGCACUCUAGUUUAGAGAAUUACCCAUUAAUUUUUUAGAAUAAUCUUCAAUUAGAUUGUAGAAGUUAAAUAACAUGUUCAUUGGAUUUUUGGUUAAAACUUAAUUGUGUAGUUGUGAACUAAUGUUAACCUUAGAGGUUGAAAUACAUGAUUAUUACCUUUUAAUCCCUUUUUUACUUUGGUGCAUGUUAAUGCUUGAUGCUAAAAAUUAAUCAUGAUUAGUCUUAGGAAUUAAUUUUUAAGUAGAAUACAUUAUAAUUUAUUUCCUUUUCUUUUGCUUUUGUUUGUAUGCAUGGGUCAUGGUUGUGAAUGUUGCUUGAUUUCUUCUUACCAUUUGAUUUAUUCUCAUGUGCAUGAUUUAAUUUUAUGUACGGUGUAUGAUUAUCCCCCAUAUUUGGACAAAAUGUACCCCACUCCCAUGAACAUAUAACACUUUUAUCACUUUCCAUUUUAUUCCUCUCAUCACUUGUUAACUAAGAAAUAAUCAAAAGCGAUCUAAAAAGAACAUUUUUCAAAAGAACAUAAAUAAACUCGAUUAAACGUCAAGUGUUUUUAAAAAUCAAAUUCAAUUGAAUAUAACGCAUGUGCUUGAUCCAACGUCAAGUACAUCAUCCAUUUAAUUCACAAUCUUCAUAUUCAACUAGAAACACUUGAUCCAAAAUCAAGUCAUUUUCAAAGUUUUACAAUAAACCAGAUGGAAAAGAAUGGGGUGUACGUACUUGUGCACACCAUUUCUUAAGUACUUGGGUUGUCGACUGUACUUAACUUGUGGCCCAAUGUUUAUCUUCCAUUCAAAACACUUAACAAUAAAUGGCCUUUCCAUUUCACAGUUCCUACGAAAAUACUUAAAUGAAAAUUAGUAAUACAUAAAGACAUACACAAAUAUGGACGCAAACAGAAUCGGACCACAUAAACAUAGUUGCUCACAAACAUCAAAAUAACAAUUUCACAUAACAAAUUAAAAAAAAUCAAACAUAGUUGCUCACAAAACAUCAAUAUAACAACAACCAGAAGAGAAUCAGAGUAGCUCACAAACAUCAAAAUAUGAAGAAGAAAAAAAUGAACACGAACACAAAAGCGAACACAUACUGAAAUAUAAAGUUUCAAACUUUUAUCGGGUAUACCAAUAAGCAUUGCGUUAUAGGCUCAAAAUUAAUAACCUAGAAAAUGAACAAAUACAUGAAUAAUGAAGAAGACGGGACACUUGUUGGUAAAAUCAUUUGCAAAGUUCAUUUUGUUCAACCGGGAUGUUGAGUUUAUUAGUAUCAAAAUGAAAAAAAAUACAAAACAACGAUGAAGUGGAAGAACAAAUAAGAUCGAAAUCAGGCUGGUGCGAAACUAUCAAACGUCACCUUAAGAUUGAGUGGAUGGUGAAGGAGAGAGAAAGUAGUUUAAUAUUUUUGGGAGAAAGUACAAAUUUUUAUUUUAAAGGGAUAUAUGAAAAGGUUGAACUUUGGUUUAUGUGAUAAAGUUGAAUCAGAUAGUGUCUUUGUAACCAACCAAACCAAACCAAGUUGCAAUAUAAGGUAAGAUGGAAGUAAAUAGAAUAACUAGUAACCUAACAAUGCAAAUUAUGGUAGUUUGUUUGCAAAAAGUAAAUUUGGGACACAAAUUAACCUCAAAUUGGUGACAUGGCAUUAUUAUAGACGGGGGAAAGUUGUAUUUUCCACAACAUCUUCUUUUCUUAUAUUAUAGAUGUUUCAUUAUUAAUUUUUAAUAUUCAUGAUGCUUUUAUAAUAUUUUUAGGUUUCAUGCGAAUCACUAAUGGAAGUGUCUUGAGCGUUGAUACUCAUUAAAUAGACCACAAAGAUUUGUUUAAGGACGGAGAAAGGAAUAAAUAAACACGCUUAUAUUUUCCCUUGAUUAUUACUCAAAACCGAGGUAAAACGUGUUUCUUUUUAAAUAAAAAAUACAAAAAAAUAUAUGUUUCAUCCCAAACGCCACAUACCUCUCGAUUUCUAUAAAAAAAAUAAGGGAUGUAAGCUUUUUUAAAAAAUAAAUAAAUUAUUUACACAGAAUAUUAAAAUAAAUUGUUUAAACAAAUCUAGAUUUUAACAAUGGAUUCUUGGAGAACAACAAAUAUUUUCAAGUUAUUCUUGGAGGAUAACAAAUCUUUGUUAUUAUCCAGAUUUUGUUGUCUAUCAUUUGUGUGCAUUCUUUUCAAGUUCAAUGGAUUGUAUGCAUUGUUGAUUGUAAUUUUAAGUGUCGGGUUUUUGUUAUCGUCUCCACGGGGAUUGUGAGAUAUCGCCGCCUUUCGACAGUUGUUUUAAUUCUUAGCUUAAGGUAACAAUGGUUUUUGGUUUUAGUCACGGUANGGUCACAAAAUGGGUAUACCGAGUCGUGUUGAGUCAUGCAUGGGUGUGUGCAUUGCAAUUGAUGUGUUGUUUUGUUGAUGUUCAUGAGUUGUGAUUAUAAUGAUGAUGAUUGAUGAUGAACUGUGUUGACAUGUGUGCAAUAUGUUUAUAUUAUAUUCUGUCGUUAUAUUAUUGUUUAAUAAUGAAAUUCUCACCCCUUCUGCAUGUGUUUAUGUUCAUCUAUGAUGAGCAAUGUGCAGAUAAUGAAGAGUAGCUUUUGUUGAGGUUUGAAGAAUAAGUGUAGAGUUAUUCUACAGAGUCGAGUCAAAUGCUCUGGUCAUGUGACACCGGGGUUAUGGGAUUCGAUAGAUAAACGAGUUAUGAUUUACGUUGUCUAUGAUAUUUAAAUGUUAAGAUAUUUUAUGAAUUGUCAUAUGAUGCAUGACAUAUUCCUGAUGUUGUCCGCUGCGAAAUUUUAGCAAAAUAAAUAAUAAUUUUAUUCUCUGAUGUGAUAAGUAUUAUAUGAUGUGAAAUGUAAACUCUUCUACAUGUUGUACUCUGAUAAAUUAAUUAAAUAUGUCGUUUGGGUAGAAGGGUGUUACAAAAGCUGCACACUAAACCAAACAAAUUACAAGCACAAGUCAAAAAUUUAAAAAUUAAGCAACUAUUGUGAUGCUCGCAAUAUCAAUUCACAAUCCCCGGCAACAGCGCCAUUUUGUUGAUUGUAAUUUUAAGUGUCGGGUUUUUGUUAUCGUCUCCACAGGGAUUGUGAGAUAUCGCCGCCUUUCGACAGUUAUUUUAAUUCUUAGCUUAAGGUAACAAUGGUUUUUGGUUUUAGUCACGGUAUCUUGCAUAAAAGUGUAAGAAAAUGAGGUAAAAGAUUUGGUUUUAAUAUUUGAGAAAUAUUGCCAAAGUUAGGGUUCGACAAUCACUUUGCAUGCAUAUGUUCGAUCAACAAUACUUAUAAACUCCUUUAGAUGAUAAACUAUUUCACAAAGUCCUCCCAAUGUGUUUAUCUCUAACACACAUUGUGGGUUUUCCCAUUUUGAUCCAUUGUUUAUCUCUAACACAAUCUAUCAAAAUGACAACUUUUUGGUUUCAAACUUUAUGGUGAACAAAAUCAUUCAUUACUAUCUCUGCUAACAAAUAAGAUUGGAUGAAAACCUAGGUAAAGAGUGGUUAAACAUCUCUCGAUCUAAACCAACACAAAGAGUUAUCGAUAAAACAAAUUUUUCACCAUAUAUCAUCAUUAAAGAGUUUACAAAUGAAGAUCAUCCCAUUUACAACAAAGCUAAUUGAUAUCUACAUCUAACCUUGACAAAUGAAGAACUUAGCUACUCAUUUUUCAUGGUAGUUUGGCUCACAAAGUUUCGGAAGAAGGUUGAUCAACAUCCGAGUCGAAUAAUCGAGAUGGAUGGGAAUCCACCUUCUUUUUGUGAAAGAUGUUAAGAGAUGAAGAGAAAUGAUAAAAUGGGUUUCUAGGUCACAAAAUGAUCCAAAAGCAAUGCAGGAAAAUAUCUAGAAAAUCUAAGGUGUUGUCCAAAAAGUAGCCCUUGCUACUUAAUACUAUGGUCUGAGCUGUCAUGCUCGCUAGGCGAGCAGAAUGGCUCGCCUAGCGAGCCCCUAAAAUAGGCACCAGAGGCACCUGCGCCCAGAAAUAUCUAACUUCAGACUUCACAUGUUCGCUAGGCGAACAAAACCUUCGCUAGGCGAACAAAACCUUCGCUAGGCGAAGCCCACGCUUCCACCUUCGCUCCAGCGAGCUUAGGAGGUUUUGCUACUGGAAUUGCUCGCUGGGAGGUCGCUAAUGGCUCGCCUAGCGAGUGAGUGCUGGUUGCGCUUUUGACUAAGUCUGAACGUGUUCGCUACCACGUUCGCUGGCUGCUCGCCUAGCGAGCAUGCUGAUGAAUGCUUUCUUUUUCUUGGUCCCUUGCCAUUUUCUUAUGCCUUCAUUUUCAAUUAUUUCAUGCCUAAUUCCUGCGCAGUAACACACAAAUCAAAGGUACCAAGAUCAUUUAACAUUGUAUUGCGAUUCAUCUAAAACAAAGGCGGUUUCGAACGCUUUAGCAACAAAAAGGAGUGGAAAAUGCCCACAUUUGAUAGCUCAAAUAAGCACUUUUGGGCAUCUAACAUGCAUCCAAUUUUUGAUAAGUUAUUUGUUCCUACCAUGAUAAUUUAUUUUUAAACUUGCAAUCCAUCCUAGAGAUCUGUUCAAAGAUUUCAUUAUCUUGAGCAAAUGUUUUCAUGACAAAUGCUUUCACAAGAAAGAUAACAAGAUACACGUACCUGCAAUUUACAACAUGUUUAAGAAUAAAUUCCUCAAUAUUGUCAACCGAGAAAAACAAUAAAUCUUGGAGUGUUUUCUUUGAUUGACAACAUAGGAAGGUUAUUCCAAAAAUAAAAACAACAACAUUAACACCAUUAUAUUAUGAUGGAUGUAAGAGCAGAAAAAAUAUUGACAAAAUACCCUUUUUGGUCCCUUAACUAUGCCCUUAGGUUUAGAUUAGUCCCUUAAUUUUUUUCGUGUCAGAUUGGUCCCUUAACUCUUUAAAACUUAUCAUGUUAGUCCUUUUCGUCUAAUUGGCGACAGAAAAAUUCAAAAAUCGGUCGCUAAAUCCGCCGCUAAUUAGGCAAAAAGGACUAACUUAACACAUUUUAAAGAGUUAAGGGAUCAAUCUAACACAAAAAAAAAAUUAAGGGAUCAAUCUGAACCGAAGGGUAUAGUUAAGGAAUCAAAAAGGGUAUUUUACCAAAAAUAUUUUAUUCAAGAUAGAAGAACAUCAAAGAUUUUUCCUGUCUUGCAAUCCAUCCCAAAGCCUGAUGCAUACAAGUUUGGAGUGACUACAUAUAAGUUAGGUUUAUGAUAAAAUCUGAUUAGCGAAUGCUUUUAUAUUAAAAUUUGAUUAUGUAAUCCCUCAAUUAUUAAAGAUAAUUAAAGGAUUAGAUCAUUAAUUUAUAAAAAAAGAAAGAAAGACACCACUUUUAAAGAAAUAAAAAUAUAAACUGCUAUUGUUGGGAUUCGAAGCAUGUCCGGUCUGUAAUUAUUUUCCCUUCAAUUAUAUUUAGAAACCGAGGAAUUAUGUGGUAUUUAAUUUUUUUAAAAAUAAAACAUAGCGCGUCUUGGUUAUGUCGAUUUUUUGUUGGGUGGGUGAAAGCUUUGUCAUAAAAUAUAUUAUUUGUAGUAGUGUUCUUGUGGAAGUCCAAUAGUUUAAUUACCCCGUAGGGUGACAAGGAUCUUCUUGUGGAAUUUCAACAAUUUCAUUACCCCAUAGAACGACCAGGAUGUUCCUAUCGAAGUCCAACAAUUUAAUUAUCCCGUAUGACGGCAAGGAUCUUCAUAUAGAAGUUUAACAAUUUAAUUACUCUAUAUGGCAGGAAGGAUCUUCCCAUGAAAGUUCAAUAGUUUUAUUACCCCAUAGGGUGGCAGGGAUCUUCUUGUGGAAGUCGAACAAUUUAAUUACCACCGUAAGGCAAAAAGGAUAUACUUUUGGAAGUCUAUCAAUUUAAUUAAGGCGACAAGGAUCUUCCUGUGAAAAUUCAGCAAAUUAGUUUCGACAGUCAAACCAUAAUAACUUGUUAAAAAUAUCUUAAUCUUUUACAAGAGUUUUCAUACAUAGGCUUUGUUGCACGAUACUCUUUGAGUUCCUAAUAGAAGAUUCAAGGUAUCUCUUCUCUUGGUGAACUUGACAAGUGUCUUUUGAAGAUCGAAAAUUUCAUUUUUCAAAGUAUCACAUUCAUUAUACUUGUCAAGUUCAAUUUGUCUUUUUGUAAGGAUUUAUAUUUAUUUCUCAAGGUUUUUAUUUUUAAGUUCAAGAGAGGAAAUAAUAUCCUUGGAUGUGGAGACAAUUUGUUCCAAUUUGUUUGUUUCUUUUGUUAGUUUCUUACAAAUGCAAAAAACAUUAUGAUAAGAAAAGUAUGAGGUUACCUCAUAAUCUUGAUGAUUUACCAUGAGAUAGAUAUUGGCUUCUUCUUCAUUGUAUGAGGUUUCCAUAUCACUGUCUUCCCAUGAAGCAUAAUCUUUCUUUCCAUUUUUAUGAGUUUUCUUAUAUUUGUUUUUAUUUUUAGUUUUUUGCUAAGGGAAAUUUUGGCCCGAUUUGUCUUUUGUUUCCACAUAAGUAACAUGUUGGGAUGAAUGAGGCUUUCUCCCUAUCAUUGUCUUGUUCCUCUCUUUGUUUCUUUUCAUGCCUCAAGAAUCUUUUGAAGUUCUUUACUAUAAGGGACAUGUCACUGUUAGAGUCAGAUUCCUCUACUUUGAGUGCUAGACUUUUGUUUUUCUUUUCUCGUUUAUCAUCUAUGACAAGUUUUUUAAGUUCCAUCUCGUGUACAUGUCAUUUAAAAAAAAUAUUUGUGUGUCCAUAGUUGCUAAAUCCUUAAUGAUUAUUGGGUUUCCAACUACGGUUUAGGCAUCUAAGAAUUUUUACAACUAGUUCCUCGUUUGAAAGUGUUAUUUCCAGAGUUCUCAUAUGACAUAUGAUAUGGGUAAAUUGCCACUACUACGUAAAUGCUCUUUCACCACUGUGGAAAAAGAGAUACGAUCAUAUGACCGUGAUGACAAACUAUGUCGCACGCUACAUAUCACAAAGGUUAUCUCAAACAACCGUGGUGAAAUAUAUUAAGGUCGUGGACUUGAUUCCCAACCAUAAUAUGAUAUAUAAUAAUUGACAUUCUAGCUAUCACCAUAGUGUCUUAUUAUCUGUGGUAAAAUACUUUUUUUAAAAAUAUUCUUUUUAAUUAUUCCAUUUAUGUCCCCCUUUUUAGUACUUAUACGCUAUAUUUUACCACAAUAAAACCAACAAAUAUGCAUAUUUUUGUAACCAAAAUAUGACUAUAAAAUAUUUCCAUCAAACUCAAAAAUACAACAAAUAUAUAAUUAUAAAAUAUAGCUAUACCAAAAUGUAACCCGCCUAAAUAUUAUUUACAUUCAACAUAAAAAAAUAAUAAACUUAUAUUACAAACUUAUGUAUGAUCAACCUUACCUAUAAAACGUAUUGAAAAAAAAUAUCAAACAUGCAUAAACAUCUUUAACGUCUUUUUCUGAUAAUGAUGUAGUGUUACUAAAAAAUACAAUAAAAAAUACACAACUAAUAUUUGUUAUUAGUAAAAAGACACAACAAAUACUAUAAUUUUGUUGAUUAAUAUAAAAAAUAUUAAUACGACACAAAUAUUUAUCAUUGAAGCAUAAAAAAAACACAAGAUAAAUAUUUGAAUGACAAAAUAAAUCCGCUUCAAAUCAAAUACAAAUAUAAAUCAAAUAAAUUUUUCAUAAAAUAAUAACAAGAAAAUUUGCACAAAAAUAAUUAGAGGAUGAUGUCAUAGAACUAGAUCCAGAAUCCAUUAUGAUAUAAGAAAUAUAAUAUUUUAUUAAUAUGAUAAUAAGGCAUACAUGAGAACAAUGCUACAACAACACAACAUAAGCCAUAUAUAAUAAUUCAAACACGUUUAAAGGAAGUGAGAUUCCUUAAGUGUUUCAAUGGCUGAUCCGACACAGCAGCUUCAUAAUUGUUAGAAGAUGAACCGUCUUUGGCAGAAAGAGUGAGGUGGUAGUUGGUCCCAGCAACAACCUGUGAUUCACCUUUGAUAAGUUUCUCAAACUCCAAUGUUGCUCCUUUUUGUUUGUUGUACUCGACAACUGCGAAACGGGCUAUUUCAAUCACAUAUGGAUCAAUGAUGUUCUUUAUGGGAGUCCAACCGCCUAGUAUAGCUUGAUUCAGAGUGGCCGAAGCAAACAAAAUAAGGAAGAGGAGACUUAGGGAUUGAAAUCUCAUGAUGUCUGUUAACUUGAGAAAUCAAGAUGGUGUGAGUAAAACUCUGUGGUGUGGAGUAGUUAUAUAUAAUGUACAAAAG
rnacentral:lncRNA from 1 species